GUGGGGUUUAGGAUUUAGGGUUUAGGGUUUAGAGUUUAGGGUUUAGAAUUUAGGGUUUAGGGUUUAGAGUUUAGGGUUUAGAGUUUAGAGUUUAGGGUUUAGGGUUUAGAGUUUAGGGUUUAGGGUUUAGAAUUGAGAAAUGAGGUUUUGGGGAUAAGAUAUAAACUUAGAAAGAUGCUAUUUUGGUCAUUUUAGUUUCUGAGUGCUAUUUUUGUGAUAUAAACUUAGAAAUGGGCUAUUUUGGACAUUUGGCCUUGUUAAUACUUUCACUGCUCUAUUAAUGGAAAAUAAUGAAUGAGAGAUUGUAUAAAACGAUGAAUACCUUUAAUAAACUAGAACUGGUUUUCGCAGAAAAUAUUUUAGAGGCAAUAGCUUCUUCAACCUGCAAGGAAUAAACUCAAUAAAACAGCAAGACAAUACCAAAUCACCAACUGAGAAGCGAAUAGAGCUGACCGUGUCAUAACUACUGUGGAAGGCAGCAGGAAACAAGAUAACAAUUGUACUCAGCAGAUUGACAAUGCCUUCCUGCACAUCCAAAAAAAUUCAAACUGAGGAUUCUAGUAAUCAAUGUUGCUAGAAAGAGAAAUUCAAGUCCUUGAACAUGGCACUUACCCAUAGUGCUUCUGAAGAAUCUUCUUCCAUUAGUUUAAUGAUUGGCAGGAUUACUUUUGCAGCGUGUGAAACAGCUUCUUUCUUCGUAUUCGCAAAUCUAGACAGCCUGAUACCAUUACAUACAUAACCUUACCAGUGUAAAUAACUACAGGUUUCUAAUCAACUAUCAAACAAAACAAAACAAAACAAAACAAAAAACAUUUCUUACAGACCUUGUAAGGAGAUCAGAUAUUGAAGUACACGAAGCCACUCGAAUAAUUCUAGAACUUUCAGGAUUCUGCUCAACACAAAUACAAAUAACCAUUAGAAGAUUGAACAAAACCUCACCAUAGAGCAAGCCAUAAGCAUACCUUGAUAUGUGAGAGUAAACUGUUGAACCAAACAGAGUAAGAACUAAAGAAACGGUCCGAGCUGCAUUCUUGGCAAGUCACUCCCAUCAAAACGAUACCCACCCAUGAUUUAUCUGGCUAUAGCAACAAACAAACCAAUAUCAAAAUUUGUUUUAAACACGAAAGUCUCUAACUUUAUCUUUCAAUUACUGUUUAAGACAGAGUUUGUACCAUGUCUGAAGAAACCAGAGCCAGAAACCUCUCAACCCAUUCAUCAACGGCUGAUUUCGACUUAGCUUGAAGCUUCUGGUCCUCAGAUAAGAGCUUGUGGGUGGAGAUAGUGGAUACAACCUUGGAGAGUGAUUGGAAGUCGACGAGAGGCUGCUUCUCGUUGGGGACAUAGUCGGACAGAAGGUUUCUGAGAAUCUUGGGCUUUAGUCUAUUGUCGCACAUGUCGUCGAAACGCUCAAACGACGACAUUGAAGAUGUGAGGAUCUGAGAGAGCGAGAAAGGGUUUAUGGAGAUUAGGGUUUUGUUUUGUUUUGAAGACCCUAAACUAUUGUACAAUAGCAAGCCAGGCCCGAAUCUUUUAGAAACACACACAAAACCCCUCAUUUUAACUAGAAAUAAAAUAGUGCAGUUCCAUAACGUAAACCGUCUCGGUUUAACUCCAAACUCUUUCGAUAACAAUUCCCUUGACUUUUUGUCUCCCUGAACUUCUCCAUCUGGAUCGACCGGAUUAUGCAAUUAGAGCAUCUUUAGUGAUGGAUCUCUCACAUUUAGUUUUUCAGCAAUUUUAUAUUAACUUGAGAUUUUACCGCGCGUAGCGCGGUUUAUUUUUCUAUAAAAUUUAUAUCUCAAACUUCAAAGUUUAAAAUAGACCGAGUCUAUUUUGGUGUUUAUAUUAAAUCAUUUUAUUUUAUUUUGGAUAAAUUAGAGUGAAAUGGUUUUGGAAAAAAUAAUAAUUUUUUUGGUAGGAAUAUUAUUAAUUUUUAUUUUAUAUGUAAACAUAGUUUAAGUUUCUAUUAAGAUUUUAGCGAUCAUGUUAAAAGAUUUAUUAAAAAUUCAAAUACUCUAUUUAUGAAAAAUAUUAAUAUUUUCUAUUAUUUUAUGUAUAUCAUAUUGUUUUUGUACAUCAUGUGAUUGCAUUUUUAAUUAUUAUUUGAAGAAUAGGUAAUUAGCCUUAUUUCAUAUAUAUAUAUAUAUAUAUAUAUAUAUAUAUAAUUUUUUUCAUAAUGUGACUUACUCUUUACUAAGCAUAAUCAAAAGCUAUAAAUAACUUAUUAAAUUCAUAAUUUUUCAUCUUAUAGUUUUUCAUAUAUAUAUAUAUGUUGAUUUUUAUUUCAUAUUGACAAAUAUUAUUUUUAAGAAUUUUAACUAUUUUAAGAUUUAUUUUGUUUCUUCAUGGUAGUUUAAUUUUUAUGUUGAUUUACAUAAUAUCAUUCUAAAUAUCAAUUUAGUACCUUUUAAAUAGUUUAAAAUUUUGAUUCUUUAGAUAUUUAUAUCCAUUUUUAAAUGAUAGGAAAAUUUUAUUAUUUCUAAAACUUAACUUAAAAUAUUGGCGAUGUUAAAUUUGUAAAGAGGUAGCAUAGACAUCAAUCUAACUUUUAGGUCACUUUUAUCAUGUUAGUAUUUUAUACUACUAAUUUAUAUUUUGACAAAUAUGAAUUCUUAGAAGAUUUAUGUCUUUCUAAGACAUCAUCUUCUCUUUUAAUUGAUUUUGUUAAAACAAUUCUUAAAUCUUUUAUAUUUAAUGGCAGUUUAUUAUAUCUUAAUAUUUAAUUAAAAUAAUAUAUAUUAAUUUUUCAAAUAAUUAGCCUUGAUAUUAAUUUUUUCUUGUAGGAACUUUUUGUUAGUUAUUUUAUACUGAUUUUAACUUACCUUUUUUGAGAAAUUGAUUUUAACUUUAUUGUGACAUAAUAAAAUUUUGAAAGUUUUACAUUGAAGAUAUAUUUUUAUGUUAGUUAAACUUUGAUGUUUAUUUUCCAAAAUUUAGUAUAAAUAUCAAAAUUUAAUUGUUUUUAGUUUAUUUUUAUGUUGAUUUUCAUUUUGUUUUGAAAGAUAUGGAAGAUCUAAUGUUUUAAAAUGCAAUUACAGUGCUGACUAAAAAUAUCUAAUUGGUUAUUUAUAAUUCUAUGUGAAUAACUUAAAUGCUAAUUGCUUUUAAUUUUUAUUAGUAUAGAAUCAGGUCACUGAGUUUUAAGAUUUUUUUUUCGGGGAUAAUUUAUUUGGAUUAUGUGUGUGAGAUGUUUCAAAGUCUAUAAAGAUAUUGUUUGCAUAAAUAUGUAAAGAUUUGAGAGAGGGAUAGCCAUAAAACCAAAAGAGGAAAUAUUUCUCUAAUCGGAGAACAUGUAAUGAACUAAAAUAUAGUGCUAGUACAUUUAUCUGAUUAACAAAUGAAUAAAAAAAUAAAAAAAUAUUAAGCGACCAUGCGAGCAAUAUAUCAAUAUCAAGCUAUGCAUGAGCAUUUUCUUUAAAAGUUGUGAGAUUUUUUUAAAAAACCAUGUUUAUCCUGAGGAUAAGAAAGACGUAUUGUUGACUCUAAUAUGACUGGUAUUGAGGUAAGGUUAUAUCAUACGUUAUUUGGAAAUACAUAGCUAACUAAUUCCUUUUUGGAAAAUUAAAAAUGUACCAUCCAUCAGGUGUUUACUCCCAAUUCAGAGAAAGUGAAUAGCAACCGUCAUGUUUUGAUCAUAAUCAUAUAAAAGUUUUUUUACUGAUUUUAGCAUUAGGACCAACAAUAUGAAGAACAUAUGUAUAAGCCUAAAGGUUUAGUUUUUUGCGUGUGAUAAUAAUCAAACAUUGUAAAAGUCGUACUAAUGAGGGGAAGGCGUUCAAAGUAAGUUGAAUUUCUGUACAUGGAUUUAAAAAUCAUUGACCAAAAUGAUAUACUAAAACAAAAGAAAAGAUAACAUCUCAUUUGUUACAAAAAAAAAGAAGGAAAAAAGAUAACAUCUAAAUUUACAAUUUGGCGCCUCUGCAAACCCUUGAUUUGAGCUCUUACGAUCUCUUCAGUUCUUGGCCUAGUUCUCCUGAAUAGAAGCACAAGAAAUAUGAUUCAAAUCAUAGAACUUAGAUAGAAAAGAAAUGUGAGACUUAAUUCCAGAAUAUUUUUGAGAACUGGCGUAGGUUUAGGAGAGCUGGCAUAACCGCGUUAAAGCCAAGAUUUCCAAGUAUCAUCCUCCCCGGUAAAGAGAGACUGAAGUAUCUACAUUAACAACUUACGAUAGAAACAUAUAAAUGAUAACUCACACAUAUUCCUGGAACCUUCAAAUCCGCAUGAGAUGCAAAAAACCCAGAGGGUUUAUCCCUUCUUCUGCGCCAGACCUGGAUGAAAAAAAAAUCCAAACAAAACUCAGGUCUGUUGUCUACUUGUCAGCAGUAUGUAUGUGUAAGACUUUAAAAAUUUCUCAACAACAAAAAAAAAGAGAGAGAAGGGAGCCAAAAAAAAAGACAUAGCUUCAUCUUAUAUAUGAAACUUAAAACCAAAAACUCAAACAGUAAGAAGCAUCAGGUAGAAGAAAAUCUUAAUAGUUUAAAUCGAUACAUACUCUAGUAAAAGAUAUCGAACCUUGUUAUAAUAUGGAAGUUCCAAGUGAUCGGUAACAGUUUCUGGACUCUCAGCACAUGCCAAUUAUCUCCAUUCCAGUAUACAGGAAACAAUGUCUCCUCACCAAGUCCACCAACAGUAUUAUGGUUCCUUGGUCAGAAACAUAAGCUAGAUAUAAGGACUCUAAAGGUUAAACAUGUUAUCAUUUAAAUGAAAAUCAUACAACACUGCAAAGAACGAUGGUACCUCAUAUAGCCGACGCUUAACAGGUACACCAACUCUCUCCUCUUCAACUUCAUAUAGAGUAGAAGACACAUAAGCUUCUAAAAGAGUUUCAGUUGACUGUUUAUUCUAUUUAUUUUCAGUAACAACUUGUGGUAUAGAGCCUUCACUGCAUUCUGCAUACCUGUUUUUGAUGACGUUGCUGGUCUUCUUGUUGUUGUAUUGGAAAGUUCGGUGAAAGAGACAAUGUCGUUGAGAGAGAGGGAAAGAGGGCACGUGUAUGACCCUGGUGUGGCCUGUGGUGUUUAUGAUUUAUGGUGCUUAGGUCAGAACUCAUGAUCACAUCCUGUUAUGUCACUUACACACAAUCAAUUCAGUGUUCUAGAAAGCUCGGUAAUGAAGAAUUGAUACAUUACCAGAAGCUACGGUGCAUGUUCUUUCCAAAAAGAUAGAGAAAGAUUCAUGACAUGGAGUUAGACAAUCAUUUUCUCGCCGGCCGCACACUCUGAAACCCACAAAUGAACGAAAAAAAGUCAGACGUUAGAUUUUCUUUGAUCAUAUUAGAUAAAAGGUUUCUUUACAGAGCAAUCUUGAUAAUGCUCAUUACAGGAAGGCAGAGGAAAAGGAUAAGGGCUUUUUGGUGGCUGAUCCUUGGUCGGGUUCGAGAUUUCCUCGAGCCAGUUCUGGUGCCAUGAGCGAGCAACCAUCAAUGGCGUCCAUCUAAAACCAAUAAAAUCGAACGAAUGCGGUAUUGUACCAAACUUCUUUUAUUGGGUUUUGCAAGCAAAUAAACAGAGAGAAAAUCUACCUGUUGAAGUUUACAGCAAACAAAGAGGAACCUAGCAUAUCAAAGGCCGAUAAAAACAAUUUUUAAAUGAAUUCAUAUCUGAGUUUUAAACAAUGCUCUGUUUCCUGAGCCGAAGUUAUCAUGUACCUUACCCAUCGUUGCUCCAACCGAGCCGUUGCUCCAACCGAACCGUAGUUCCGCCUGAAGUCACACAUACGAUCCUCCUCCCUUCUGAAAUUUGUAAGAUCUUCAAAAUCCUUUUCAUUACAUGGAGAAGAACAAUGUAAAACGGAUAAAGCAAGCAGCUUUUAGCUAAAAAAACAUGAUAGGCAAAACUUACUUUUAUAGAAUUGUCCAUGGAACCAGAAAAAUUGAAGAAGAAAAAGUAACAUGAGAAAGAAUCUCAUCUUGGAUAUUUAGAUGCUCUCAUGAUAAUCCAAUUAGUCACGAACUUAUAUUCAAAAAAUUGUAAACUCACGGUGCAAUAUGUAUUGAACCUGCAUAUCAGUAUACUCAUGUAUCAAUAAAAUAUGUCAGGGAGUAAUUGAUUUCCUAGAAGUUAGACAGUCUGAAGCGAUAAGCAUUCCCUGAUAUAAUAAAGGACUCCUCCUAAGGAUGGUGAUGAAUUGUGCCUGGAAUCAGCCAACGCAUGAAAGAACAUCAAUAUUUUCUGGCAAACAAUGGAAGAUGCAUACUGAUCAAAAUCAAGGAAAGACUCACCUUUGAAACCUCAAACUCGUGAAUUUUGUUGUCGAUCACGCCUUGUGUCUAGGCACAGCCGUACAACCAACGAUCCUUUUUUCUGAUAACAAUUAAUUUGAGGAUUAGAGAAGAAGAACGAACUUUGUGUUUUGAUUUGAGGAUGAUAUUUUCCCGACCAAGAACAUCAGACGUUACCGGUGACUUCCUUGAAUGGAUGCAACUUAUGACAACAUAUGAAGAAUAUGGUUUACAAAGAAGGAGAAAGAAAGGGAUGCGAAACGAUUUCUUAAAGAAGGUAUUGAAGAGCACAAUUGAUUGAUGCAGAUAAGUUUAGUAAAUGAGAUUGGAUAGAGGAAAUCGGAGAAGACGAAGUGGAAUCAUCACGUGUUUGGGUUUUUUUAUGUUUCUGGGGCAGAGAUGGAGAAUAAGAAAAAUAGUCUGGGCCUUUUAAAUUAAUAUAGAGCCAAAACACGGUUUCUUUUUUUUUCUGUAAAAAUAGUGAUGACGUGGCAAAAUGGAUGAUUGUUAUUAGUUGAUUUUUUAUGCUGAUGUGGACACUCUCCCUAUUGAGCAUAUCUCCCUUUUAGUAUUGGUAGAUAUUCGAUCCAUUUUUCGAUCAUUUCAUUUUCUUCUGCCUCAAUCACUUAUAUUUAUAACAUCAUCAUCUCCGUUCUGGAUUGUUUCAUUUUUCGCCACCAUCGCUGUUUCCGCCAUUGUCGCCAUCGUUUUCACCGUUUUCUUUUCCACUACGCUGUUGUCAAUUGUUUUAUUCUUCGCCACCAUCAUCGUUUUCACCAUUGUCGCCACAGUGUCCACCAUAUUCUCUUCAACCACCUCCACCAUUUGUGAUCUUUUUCCACCAUUUUUUUUCUUUUCCAUCUUAUGUAGUGGUUUAUUCUUCUCAUGAACUAUAGCAACUUAACUGGCAACGAACAAUCACAUCCGGAAAAAAAAACUCAUCUAUAUUUUUACCAAAUUAUCACAAAUACAAUUUGUGACUAUAUUCUUAGUUAUUCUUUUACUUUGUACAUUUCACAAAAUCACCCUAAUACUUAAUAGUAUCCAUUCUAUUAAAACACAAAUAUGACCAAUUGAUAAAUGUUUGGUCUAAUUAUUUACAAUCCACAUUUUAACUAACAGUAUUUAACAUAUGAAUAUAUAUCUAUAAACGCGUUUAUAAUACGAUCGUAACUGCCACUUUACUUGCAACUAUGCAGGAUCCACUUCUCUCUAUAAGUAAAAACUGUCAGAUUAACUUUAACGUGAGUGAGCACGAUUACAUAUAACAACUUGCAUUGGUAAUGGGUAUGAUGAUACAAAUUUGCCUAGGUUUAAUGACUGAAAAUAUACCCGCCCUUUUUAGAAUAUAGUUAUCUAAUAAAGUAUAAUGACAAGAGAAUGGCCCAAAUCCACCACUUCAGGUUUAUAAGAAAAUAUUACUUUGGGAGACACAAUCUGAGUUGUGAAUUACUCUAAAAGACACAAUCUGAGUUGACACACUUUAAUCUUGCAAUUUUACCAAGAUAACCUCCAACUAAUAGGGAUGUCGAUUUCGUUAGCCUUUCCAACUAAACAAAACAAAUCUGGUAUUUUAUUUUUUAUUUGUAAAAAAAAAAAAAAAAUUUAUCUAAUAAUCUUUAUCUAUUCAAAUCCCUAAGUCGACAAAAGUUCAAAAAGAGAACCCUUAACCCCUUUAUCCCUUCUGCCUCGAUCUUCUUGAUCUGGAAAUCGAAUUCCAACACCAGAUGUUAGAGAAAUUGAACCUUAAUCUAGAUCCAAAAUCGUCCAUAAUCCCCUAAUUCCUUUCGUUCUCGAACUCUAUUCUCUCCACCGCCAACUGUACUUUUUCGCCGCCGUUGUUUCCCAAACAAUCUUCUACAUGGAAUCCAUUUUCCCAAUUCUUGUCCACAAUCACUAACCCUAAUCUCUAGGGCCGUAAGAUUGUGAUCGAUCGAUGAGAGUAACCCAUCGAUCUAUCGACAAUCUGAAUUGUUCCUCGGAAUUUCAUCGGAAAAUCUUGUAUGUUUUUUUAAAAAUGCAUCGAUCGAUGCGUUAUAGAACAAAAACGCAUCGAUCGUUUACUAGGAUGGACCGGGCCGUAAGAUUGUGAUCGAUCGAUGAGAUUAACCCAUCGAUCUACCGACAAUCUUUAAGAAAUUUUUAUGUUAGUGAAACUUUGAUGUUUAGAUUCCAAAAAAACAGUCUAAAUAUCAAAAUUUGAAUGUUUUUGAGUUCAUUUUGUUUUAGAAGAUAUGGAAGCUUUAAUGUUUUUAAAAUGUAAUCACAAAGCUGACUAAACAUAACCAAUAUGUUUUUUUAAAUAUAUUUGUGGUUAACUAUGAAUGCAUUAGGACGUUUUCUGGAAUCAAAGAACGAAAAUAUAGUGCUUAGGACAUUGUUCUGGUAAACAAAUGAAUUAAAUUAUAUUUUCUAGAAUAUCAUAGACCAAAUACGAAAACAGUCCCAUUGUUUUCUUGGCGGAACAUGUCAUAAUAAGUGACCAUGCGAGGAAUAUAUAUGUAUCAUCUAUGCAUGAACAUGUCGAACAUUGUAAUAAUCGAACAUUGUAAUAGUCGUACUAAUGAGGCAAAGGGUGACAAAUCAAGUGGAAUUUCUGGAUUAUCAUAAAAAUAUCGAGAACUAACAUGGAUUUAAACAUCAUAGACCAAACUGAUAUACUAAAAAAAAAAAAAAUAACAUCUCAAUUUAAAAUUUAAAGCCUCUGCAGACCCUUUAUUUGAGCUCUAGCGAUCUCUCCAGUUCUUGGGCUCGUUCUUCCGAAUAGAAGCACAAGAAAUUUUAAAACACAAUCCCUGGUUAGACCUAAGAUAGAAAAGAAAACUGAGACUUAAUUCCAGAAUAUUUUGAGAACUGUUGUAGGUUUAAGAGAGCAGGCAUAACCACUUUAAGCCAAGAUUUUCCAAGUAUCAUCCUCCCCGGUAAAGAGAGACUAAAGUAUCUACAUUAACAACUUAGGACAGUAUUUUCUAUGCAAUCAUUCAGCUGAAAAGGAAGUUACAAAUUUUUAACACAUAACAGAUAACUCGCACACAUUCCUGGAACCUGCAAAUCGACAUGAGAUGCAAAAAAAACCAGAGGGUUGAGGCAUUCUUCUGCGCCUGACCUGGUUGAAAAAAGUUCAAACGAAACUCAAGUCUGUUGUCUUAUCAUCAGUUGUAUAUAUGUGUAACACUUUCAGAAUUUCUCAACAACAAAAAAAAAAUAGAGAGAGAAGGGAGCAAGAAAAAAGACAUAGAUUCAGCUUAUAUAUGACACUUAAAACAAAAAAAAACGGUAAAAAGCAUCAGGUAUAAAAAAAUGUUAUAGUUUAAAUCGAUACAUACUCCAGUUAAAGAUAUCUAACCUUGUUAUGAUAUGGAAGCUCCAAGUGUUCUGUAACCGUUUCUGGACUCUAAGAACAGACCGAUUAUCUCCAUUCCAGUACACAGGAAACAAUGCCUCCUCACCAAGUCCACCAACAGUAUUAUGGUUCCUUGGUCAGAAACAUAAGCUAGAUAUAAGGACUCUAAAGGUUCAACAUGUUAUCAUUUAAAUGAAAAUUCUACAACACUGCAAAGAACGAUGGUACCUCAUAUAGCCGACGCUUAACAGGUACACCAACUCUCUCCUCUUCAACUUCAUAUAGAGUAGAAGACACAUAAGCUUCUAAAAGAGUUUCAGUUAACUGCUUAUUCGAUUUAUUUUUAGGAACAACUUGUGGUAUAGGGCCUUGGCUGCAAUCUGCAUACUCUUUCCACCAGUGACGAAAACUCAUCUUCUCUCUGUAGCACAAACUUCCCAGGAAACAUCAGCUCACAAUUUAAAUAUACCGGGACACAUUUACACUUUUAUAAAAAUGACAGUAACUGAAACCGUCUCUUGUAAACAAACUAAAUGAAUCAUAUAGAUCCCAAGUUUACGGACAUAUAUUAACUCGAGUUUGAUGCAUUGGAUCCAUGCAAUGAGAUAAGGUUCUAUGGACUCGGGUAUGUUGCAGUGUUAUAGAAAACUCUAAAACACAAACAAUUAUUCUUUUUAUAUCUAUUUGAAAUAGGAAAGCUAACAGUACCCCUCACUUUGAUUCUUUUCUUUUUCUCUUUAUGGGGUUUUCAAUCUCUAUACUGUCUUGAGCUCACUUCUUUUCUUUUUUACUUGUCCCUAGUGACAUAUUUUUUUUUUAAUUAUUAUUAUUAUAUAUACACUCCUCCCCACUCUUUCUUUUCACUCAUUUUAAAACUAUGUUCACACUCCCAAGAUCAAACUUCUCAAAUCAAACCCAUCCCAUCCCAUAAUGGAGACCAAACAUUGUCGUUCCAAUUACUCUCAACAUUACGCACAUGUAAAGCUUUCCAAAAAGACCUCACUCAACAAUUAAUGAUGGCUUGAAAGGAAGGAAGGGUUUAGGGAGUGGACUACCACUUGAGUUGUCAAAAGAUAGGUAGAAUUGAUAAAAAUGGAGAGACAAACUCAAGUGUGUAUGAAGCCAUGACUUAGUACUCAAUAGACCAUAAGCAAGAAGCAUUAAGUUCAUUUAGUUCAAUUAAUAUUGGAGUUGGCUUCAAAGAUGAGUAAGUUUCUACAAUCAAUGAGUUUCAAGAGGAGUUUUGAAGGCUCGAAGUCUACAAGUCUUUCAAAGGGUGCUCAAGCUACUUGCCAUGAUUACAAAGGAUAUCAAAUUGAGUUCUAAGCAUGAGUUCUUUGCAAGGUAGGUUUAAUCCUUGUUCCCUAUGCAUGAUGCAAUCCUACAUGAUCUAGACUCGAUCCUAAUGAUGAAAAUGAGACAAAAGAUAAAUCUACGUGCUUGUUUUUGUGAUUUUUCAAGUUUUUUUUUUUUUUUUUUUUUUUUUUUUUUUUUUUUUUUUUUUUUUUUUUUUUUUUUUUUUUUUUUUUUUUUUUUUUUUUUUUUUUUUUUUUUUUUUUUUNNNNNNNNNNNNNNNNNNNNNNNNNNNNNNNNNNNNNNNNNNNNNNNNNNNNNNNNNNNNNNNNNNNNNNNNNNNNNNNNNNNNNNNNNNNNNNNNNNNNNNNNNNNNNNNNNNNNNNNNNNNNNNNNNNNNNNNNNNNNNNNNNNNNNNNNNNNNNNNNNNNNNNNNNNNNNNNNNNNNNNNNNNNNNNNNNNNNNNNNNNNNNNNNNNNNNNNNNNNNNNNNNNNNNNNNNNNNNNNNNNNNNNNNNNNNNNNNNNNNNNNNNNNNNNNNNNNNNNNNNNNNNNNNNNNNNNNNNNNNNNNNNNNNNNNNNNNNNNNNNNNNNNNNNNNNNNNNNNNNNNNNNNNNNNNNNNNNNNNNNNNNNNNNNNNNNNNNNNNNNNNNNNNNNNNNNNNNNNNNNNNNNNNNNNNNNNNNNNNNNNNNNNNNNNNNNNNNNNNNNNNNNNNNNNNNNNNNNNNNNNNNNNNNNNNNNNNNNNNNNNNNNNNNNNNNNNNNNNNNNNNNNNNNNNNNNNNNNNNNNNNNNNNNNNNNNNNNNNNNNNNNNNNNNNNNNNNNNNNNNNNNNNNNNNNNNNNNNNNNNNNNNNNNNNNNNNNNNNNNNNNNNNNNNNNNNNNNNNNNNNNNNNNNNNNNNNNNNNNNNNNNNNNNNNNNNNNNNNNNNNNNNNNNNNNNNNNNNNNNNNNNNNNNNNNNNNNNNNNNNNNNNNNNNNNNNNNNNNNNNNNNNNNNNNNNNNNNNNNNNNNNNNNNNNNNNNNNNNNNNNNNNNNNNNNNNNNNNNNNNNNNNNNNNNNNNNNNNNNNNNNNNNNNNNNNNNNNNNNNNNNNNNNNNNNNNNNNNNNNNNNNNNNNNNNNNNNNNNNNNNNNNNNNNNNNNNNNNNNNNNNNNNNNNNNNNNNNNNNNNNNNNNNNNNNNNNNNNNNNNNNNNNNNNNNNNNNNNNNNNNNNNNNNNNNNNNNNNNNNNNNNNNNNNNNNNNNNNNNNNNNNNNNNNNNNNNNNNNNNNNNNNNNNNNNNNNNNNNNNNNNNNNNNNNNNNNNNNNNNNNNNNNNNNNNNNNNNNNNNNNNNNNNNNNNNNNNNNNNNNNNNNNNNNNNNNNNNNNNNNNNNNNNNNNNNNNNNNNNNNNNNNNNNNNNNNNNNNNNNNNNNNNNNNNNNNNNNNNNNNNNNNNNNNNNNNNNNNNNNNNNNNNNNNNNNNNNNNNNNNNNNNNNNNNNNNNNNNNNNNNNNNNNNNNNNNNNNNNNNNNNNNNNNNNNNNNNNNNNNNNNNNNNNNNNNNNNNNNNNNNNNNNNNNNNNNNNNNNNNNNNNNNNNNNNNNNNNNNNNNNNNNNNNNNNNNNNNNNNNNNNNNNNNNNNNNNNNNNNNNNNNNNNNNNNNNNNNNNNNNNNNNNNNNNNNNNNNNNNNNNNNNNNNNNNNNNNNNNNNNNNNNNNNNNNNNNNNNNNNNNNNNNNNNNNNNNNNNNNNNNNNNNNNNNNNNNNNNNNNNNNNNNNNNNNNNNNNNNNNNNNNNNNNNNNNNNNNNNNNNNNNNNNNNNNNNNNNNNNNNNNNNNNNNNNNNNNNNNNNNNNNNNNNNNNNNNNNNNNNNNNNNNNNNNNNNNNNNNNNNNNNNNNNNNNNNNNNNNNNNNNNNNNNNNNNNNNNNNNNNNNNNNNNNNNNNNNNNNNNNNNNNNNNNNNNNNNNNNNNNNNNNNNNNNNNNNNNNNNNNNNNNNNNNNNNNNNNNNNNNNNNNNNNNNNNNNNNNNNNNNNNNNNNNNNNNNNNNNNNNNNNNNNNNNNNNNNNNNNNNNNNNNNNNNNNNNNNNNNNNNNNNUUUUUUUUUUUUUUUUUUUUUUUUUUUUUUUUUUUUUUGAUUUUCUAAUGCAAUAUCUAUUAACAAUGCAUGACUCAAAACUCAAUCAACUAAACAUUAGAAACUUAAUACCUCCCCCAAACUUGAAUCACACAGUCUCGUGUGUGACUUAGAAGGAGAGAGAUACCGAAAAUAAAUCAAAGGAAGAAAUAAAGGAAGGAAUAAAUAUGGACAAAGGCGGCUUGCGAAGUACCUCAAGGCUCGGUGAUACCGAGCGGAUCGUCCGUGUCAGAAGUGGGCACGUAUGGUGUUUCGUUGCCGAAGUCAUUAGGAGGAAGUUGUGUGACUGGAUGUCGCUGCCUCCUUGGUUUGCGCUGACGAGGCUCACGGAGGGAAGCUCGUUGUUCCUCAUAGUAAACCUCGGUAGCACUAGCAUCUCCAUGGUAGGAAUGCCUAUGAGUGUGAACCGGUUCUUCUUCAACCCCGGUUCCAUCAUCUUCCAUAGGAUCAUCUGUGGUGACCGGAGUAGAGGCUCGAGAUCGUCGCGGUCUCAUAGUCAAGUUCUUCAACUUCUUUGCUAGGUAGUUCACUGAUUUCACCAACUUGGCAAUCGUUCUAUCCUGAAACUUGUUCCCUCGCUGCAGUGUCCUAAUCUGCUGGUGAGCUUCACGAAGGGGACCGUCGGGUAGAGCUCCAGAGUAGGGUGGGAAGUAGUAUCGAGAACUCCCAUAGAUGGAGCUUGAAGACCCUUGCUCAGCUUGCUCUUCCGGCUGAGAAUCAUCAAUCGCUUGCUUCUUCUUGCUCCUACUGAUCUUCUUAGGAAUCUCAUGAAUCUCGGAAUUGUAGAAAGCUUCUUGGGGAAGUCUGAAUUUGAUGUUGUUCCUUUCCGAUAUAGAUGUGAGACUUUGGUUGGGAAGAAAAGUCCUCACAUACUUCCCCUCCUGCUUCACCACUUUGAAGCGAUAAACCCAUGAAUUUCCCACUUGCCCAUCAAGGAAGCCAAUGUUUGGGAGAAAUGGCUCGUCCAUUAACGCAUAUCCCUUGUCAGCUUCGGGUAAAGGGACCUUCAUUGCUUCUAAGAGUGGUGUGAUGAGACCUCCUAUACUCAGUCUUGGUUCUUUAUCCUUCUUUGUCCAAGCCCAGUCUUGAUAAUGAAGUAGACGCUUCACAAAAAUGCCCACAAUCCCCGGUUGUGUCCUUAUUCCAAAACGAACCUCACUUCCAUCGUCAAACGUUUCUCCUAUCACAUCCUUUAGACCCCAUGUGAGAAAGUGCAGCUCAUCCUCAACUAUUCUUCCCGGAUCUUUCCAAGCAUAGAAAGUGCUUGCUAGGAUCCUUUGGACAUAGCAGAUAGAAGGAUUUCGAAUAUAUGCCCCCUUAAUCAACUUGGUCUUAUAUACUCCUGCUCCAAUCAUAUACCACAAGAGUUCAGGGUCGUCCUUUGCACCUUCUAUCCUUGGAUCGCGCCUAUCCGGGAAUCCCAUGACUUCGCUAAUCUGCUUGAAAGACAUCCGGUAAGCCUGUCUCCCAAUCUUGAACGUGAUGAACCCAUAACCAUCUUCUAGAUCUUCUCUCGAACGGUGUGUAGCCUCAAGGGACGAUAGGAACUGAUAUGUGGCUGUCGCAUACCCCAGUUUUUGCAAGGUAAACAGCCUUUCUAGCCCCAUUCUUCCUAGUAGGAUCGUCACAUCAUCAUAGAGACCCAAACGCUGCAGUAUCAGAGGAUCAUAAUAGGUGGUUGGCAAAAGUUCCAUAGCUUUAAAGAGCCUAGUUAUCUCUGAAGGUGGUGGUCUCUUCUUUUUUGGUGGCUUUGGAGCUCUUGUUCUUUUCUUUGGUGCAGGCUUAUCAUCACUUUCUUCCUCAAUUUCAGACUCAUGAGAUUCUUCUUCCUCAAUUGGAUCCUCCCUCACCAUCUCCUUAUUCUUGUGACCUUUAGCUCGAGAAGAACUUGAACUCCCACCUUUUGCACUUGUGGUCCCUUAUUUGGAGCAGUAGAUAGUUUUGCUGCAUUAUCCUUUUUCUUUCCCAUUAUGUAUUCCUACAAAAGAGACACUCAAAAAGAGUGUGAAUUCAAACCCAAAGGAAUAACAAAACAAGAGAAGAAUUAUAUCAAUGAUUGUAUUCUUCAUAACAACACCAAACAUCAACCAUUAAGCAACAUUCGUCAAAUUUUCACAAGAGAAUUGAGAAGCUUUUUAAGUUUAUUCAAGAGAUGAUCAACGCUAAAACAGACUUGCUACAUGUCAUUUAAUUUAUAAGUAAUCACAGAACACAUCAAGCUUCAAGAAUUCACAAGCAAAUAAUCAUCAUAGCUUAUCUUGAAUCAACUUAAGGACUUAGCAUGAUUUCAAAAAAAUUUAUGAAAUGAAAGUUAUUCAAUCAUGAAAGUCUAUUGAUAACAUGUUCAAGUACACUCUAAAUCACCAUCUCAAGCAUCAGUUUCCAAUUUUAUUAACAAUUUCGAAAAUCCCUAAUUCUCAAGAACUUCACUUCACAAAUUUUCAAUUCACACAAUUUUAGACCAAAAUUGAUCAUGAUUUCUAUCAAUAAACAACUCAGAAGACUUCUACUAUCAUUAGGAAUCAACAAUCAUCAAAGAAUUUGAGUUCUAAGAAAUUUCGAAAAUUUUCUCAAACCCUAGAAAUUGAAGUUAAUACCUUUGAAUAUGUAGUGAAUGGUAGAAGAAACGAGUUAUGGAAUCUUAAUCACGACUAGAAACCCGACAAUCAGCAGCAAGAAUCACGAAAUUUGAUGAAGGAUUGAGAGAAUUGAGUUCUUGAGAGUUAUGAAAGAGAUGGUGAUGAACUUAGAGUGUUUCAGCAAGAACUAAGGAAAAGGGACUCAAUUUCACGUUAAAAACAAAGAAAGAAGAGUUGAAUCCGGUUUAGAGAUGAUUUAAAUCGAAUUCGGUUCGAUUUAAAUGACAAAACCCGGUUUACGUACCUUGGCCGCAGGCUUCGUAUCACCGCGAAAGAGGGGCACGACCUAAUGGUUUUGAUCGUGGGCUUCAGAUGUCGCGAUCGUGGGCUGCAAAAUCGACGGAAUGAUUUCGUCGAGGUUUCGUUGCGGGCACACCUGAGCCGCGACGCCAGGCCGCAAAACUCCCUGGUCCGUUUCGACGAGUCUUCGUCGCAGGCUCUCUUGGUCGCGGCGUUUGGCUGCAAUCAACACCAGCGAGUUUUCAAACUCGAUUCAAGUGUAUGUGAUGAACCUAAAAUGCAAACCUGUGAUCUAGAAACAUAGAAAUAUUAACAAGAACAAAAUAACUCAAAGAAAAUAUGUACAAGGAUAGUCAUGGGACUUCCUCCCAAGUGAGCUUGUUUUAAGUCUCUAGCUUGACUUACUUUCUUUUUGGCUAGGCGGGGAUAGGAUCGGAGACUGAAACCGAGAUUCCUUUCUCCUCUGUUGUGGUUCCCAUGUAAAGCUUAACUCUUUGUCCAUUGAUUGUAAAGUCUCCACCAUCUUUGUUCCAUAACACAAUUGCCCUAUAUGACCUUACUUCCUUGAUCUUGAAAGGACCGGACCAUCUUGACUUGAGUUUCCCGGGAAACAACUUAGUCUAGAGUUGUAGAGAAGCACUUGAUCUCUAGCACUGAACUCUCUCUUCAAGAUCUUCUUGUCAUGAAAAGCCUUGGUUUUCUCUUUGUAGAUCCUUGAGUUCUCAAAAGCAUCGAGUCUAAUAUCAUCAAGCUCAUUUACUUGGAGAAGUCUCUUCUCCUUGGCACUCUUGAUGUCAAAAUUCAGACACUUAGCAGCCCAUAAUGCCUUGUACUCAAGCUCAACUGGUAGAUGACAAGCCUUUCCGUACACAAGGUUGAAAGGUGUGGUUCCCAAAGGAGUCUUGUAAGCCGUCCUAUAAGUCCAAAGUGCAUCAUCUAGCUUGAUAGACCAAUCAUUUCUUGUAGUUCCCACACUUUUCUCUAAAAUAUACUUGAUUUCUCUGUUGGAGAUCUCAACUUGACCACUUGUUUGAGGAUGGUAAGGUGUUGCCACCUUAUGCUUCACACCAUUCUUCUUGAGAAGACUUUCAAACAGCUUGUUGAUGAAGUGAGAGCCUCCAUCACUGAUCACAACUCUUGGAACUCCAAACCUUAGAAAGAUGGUACUUUUGAACAUCUUGAUCACCACUCUAGAAUCAUUGGUGUGACUUGCUACAGCUUCCACCCACUUGGAGACAUAGUCAACAGCUACAAGGAUGUACUUGUUUCCAAAAGAAGAUGGGAAUGGUCCCAUAAAAUCAAUACCCCAGACAUCAAACACCUCCACUUCUAGAAUUGGGUUUUGAGGCAUCUCAUUCCUUUUGGUGAUGGUCCCUCUCCUUUGGCAUGAAUCACAUUUAGAGACAAAGUCUUGAGUGUCUUUGAACAUGUGAGGCCACCAAAACCCAACUUGUAACACCCUUGAAACAGUCUUGAAAGUAUCAAAAUGACCUCCAUAGGGUGAAUGAGGAUGGUAAGGUGUUGCCACCUUAUGCUUCACACCAUUCUUCUUGAGAAGACUUUCAAACAGCUUGUUGAUGAAGUGAGAGCCUCCAUCACUGAUCACAACUCUUGGAACUCCAAACCUUAGAAAGAUGGUACUUUUGAACAUCUUGAUCACCACUCUAGAAUCAUUGGUGUGACUUGCUACAGCUUCCACCCACUUGGAGACAUAGUCAACAGCUACAAGGAUGUACUUGUUUCCAAAAGAAGAUGGGAAUGGUCCCAUAAAAUCAAUACCCCAGACAUCAAACACCUCCACUUCUAGAAUUGGGUUUUGAGGCAUCUCAUUCCUUUUGGUGAUGGUCCCUCUCCUUUGGCAUGAAUCACAUUUAGAGACAAAGUCUUGAGUGUCUUUGAACAUGUGAGGCCACCAAAACCCAACUUGUAACACCCUUGAAACAGUCUUGAAAGUAUCAAAAUGACCUCCAUAGGGUGAACCAUGACAGUGUGUAAGGAUCCCAUCAACUUCUUCUUUAGCUACUACUCUUCUAUAAAGUUGAUCUCUUCAAAGUAUGUAGAGGUAAAGCUCAUCCCAAUUGUAUCUCUUCACAUCUUUGUAGAACUUCUUCUUGGCAUAUCCCUCAAGACCCAAUGGCUCUCUUCCACAAGCUAGGUAGUUCACCAAAUCAGCAUACCAAGGACCUUUCUCUUAAGUUGCCUUCACUUCUUCAAGAUUCUUUCCAGUUUCACAAACUGCUACUACUACUACUCUAAUAGCCAUGAUUUGUUCUUCUGGAAGCCCUUCAUCAAUGGGGAUCCCACACUCAAUCUUCAGUCUAGACAAGUGGUCAGCUACACCAUUCUCAACUCCUGGCUUGUCUUUGAUCUCAAGAUCAAACUCUUGUAGCAGCAAGAUCCACCUCAACAGUCUUGGCUUAGCAUCCUUCUUGGCCAAAAGGUGUCUCAAUGCAGCAUGAUCAGUGUAGACUAUGACUUUUGACCCAACCAAAUAGCUUAUAAACUUCUCAAAUGCAUAGACAAUGGCUAACAGCUCCUUCUCAGUUGUAGCAUACUUCAUUUGGGCUUCAUCAAGAGUUCUACUUGCAUAGUUGAUCACAUGAGUCUUCUUGUCUUUCUUCUGACCAAGGACAGCUCCCACAGCAUAAUCACUAGCAUCACACAUGAUCUCAAAGGGGAGAUCCCAAUCCGGUGGCUGCACAAUGGGGGCACUAAUCAGCUUGUCCUUCAACUUUUUGAAUGCUUCUAGACACUCCCAAUCAAAGUUGAAUGCAGCUUCCUUGCAUAGAAGCUUAGUCAUUGGUCUAGCUAUCAUGGAGAAGUCUUUGAUGAAUCUUUUAUAGAAUCCAGCAUGACCAAGGAAGCUUAUAAUGUCUUUCACUGUCUUUGGUGGAGCUAACCCAACCAUCACUUCAAUCUUGGCCUUGUCCACCUCAAUCACCUUCUCUGAAAUCUUGUGUGUCCAAGCACAAUCCCUUUUUUAACCAUGAAGUGACACUUUUCCCAGUUUAGCUCAAGGUUGGUGUCUUCACAUCUCUUUAGGACCCUGCACAGAUUGGACAAACAAGUAGAAAACGAAGAUCCGUAGACAGAGAAGUCAUCCAUGAACACCUCCACAACAUCCUCUAUAAGAUCAGAGAAAAUAGACAUCAUGCACCUUUGGAAGGUGGCUGGAGCAUUACAUAGCCCAAAUGGCAUCCUUCGAUAAGCAAAGGUACCAUAAGGGCAUGUGAAAGUCAUUUUCUCUUGAUCAUUUGGAUGUAUGGGGAUUUGGAAGAACCCUGAAUACCCAUCAAGAAAACAAUAAUAGGGAUGAUUUGCAAGUCUCUCUAGCAUUUGAUCAAUGAAUGGCAAUGGAAAAUGAUCCUUUCUAGAUGCUGAGUUAAGUUUUCUAUAAUCUAUGCACAUCCUAUGUCCCGUUAUUGUUCUUGUUGGAAUUAGUUCAUUCUUAUCAUUUUUAACCACAGUUAUUCCACCCUUCUUUGGGACAACAUGCACGGGAGACACCCAUUUGCUAUCUGAAAUAAGAUAGAUUACACCUGCAUCUAGGAGUUUUAGAAUCUCCUUCUUAACAACAUCUUUCAAGUUGGGGUUCAACCUUCUUUGAUGUUCUAUAGAAGUCAUAGAUUCAUCCUCUAGAUGUAUCUUAUGCAUGCAUAAAGAAGGUGAUAUCCCUUUAAUAUCAUCUAGUGAGUAGCCUAUUGCCUUUCUAUACUUUUUAAGUUCAUUCAAAAGUUUAGACAAUUCGUUUUCAUUCAGUUCACUACUCACAAUGACAGGAUAUGUCUCAUUAGGUCCAAGAAAUGCAUACCUUACACCAAGGGGAAGAUGUUUAAGCUCCACUUUUGGUACUUUUAGUUCACUCCAAUCAUCUUCUUGGAGGUUCUCUUGUUGAUCAACUGAGGCAGCAUGAUUAAUUUCUUGUGGAAGCUCUAUGAAGUUGUCUUCUCAACUUUUUCUUUGAACAUGUGAGGCCACCAAAACCCAACUUGUAACACCCUUGAAACAGUCUUGAAAGUAUCAAAAUGACCUCCAUAGGGUGAACCAUGACAGUGUGUAAGGAUCCCAUCAACUUCUUCUUUAGCUACUACUCUUCUAUAAAGUUGAUCUCUUCAAAGUAUGUAGAGGUAAAGCUCAUCCCAAUUGUAUCUCUUCACAUCUUUGUAGAACUUCUUCUUGGCAUAUCCCUCAAGACCCAAUGGCUCUCUUCCACAAGCUAGGUAGUUCACCAAAUCAGCAUACCAAGGACCUUUCUCUUAAGUUGCCUUCACUUCUUCAAGAUUCUUUCCAGUUUCACAAACUGCUACUACUACUACUCUAAUAGCCAUGAUUUGUUCUUCUGGAAGCCCUUCAUCAAUGGGGAUCCCACACUCAAUCUUCAGUCUAGACAAGUGGUCAGCUACACCAUUCUCAACUCCUGGCUUGUCUUUGAUCUCAAGAUCAAACUCUUGUAGCAGCAAGAUCCACCUCAACAGUCUUGGCUUAGCAUCCUUCUUGGCCAAAAGGUGUCUCAAUGCAGCAUGAUCAGUGUAGACUAUGACUUUUGACCCAACCAAAUAGCUUAUAAACUUCUCAAAUCUUUUUUCUUUGUGGCAGUCUAGCAUCCUCACAUACCUUGCACUCUCCUCAUCUUCAAUUAAUUGAGUCUCUCUAUCAACUGUUAGGGCAUGUUGAAGAGAGUCCUCAAUGGUUAGCUCCCACAGCAUAAUCACUAGCAUCACACAUGAUCUCAAAGGGGAGAUCCCAAUCCGGUGGCUGCACAAUGGGGGCACUAAUCAGCUUGUCCUUCAACUUUUUGAAUGCUUCUAGACACUCCCAAUCAAAGUUGAAUGCAGCUUCCUUGCAUAGAAGCUUAGUCAUUGGUCUAGCUAUCAUGGAGAAGUCUUUGAUGAAUCUUUUAUAGAAUCCAGCAUGACCAAGGAAGCUUAUAAUGUCUUUCACUGUCUUUGGUGGAGCUAACCCAACCAUCACUUCAAUCUUGGCCUUGUCCACCUCAAUCACCUUCUCUGAAAUCUUGUGUGUCCAAGCACAAUCCCUUUUUUAACCAUGAAGUGACACUUUUCCCAGUUUAGCUCAAGGUUGGUGUCUUCACAUCUCUUUAGGACCCUGCACAGAUUGGACAAACAAGUAGAAAACGAAGAUCCGUAGACAGAGAAGUCAUCCAUGAACACCUCCACAACAUCCUCUAUAAGAUCAGAGAAAAUAGACAUCAUGCACCUUUGGAAGGUGGCUGGAGCAUUACAUAGCCCAAAUGGCAUCCUUCGAUAAGCAAAGGUACCAUAAGGGCAUGUGAAAGUCAUUUUCUCUUGAUCAUUUGGAUGUAUGGGGAUUUGGAAGAACCCUGAAUACCCAUCAAGAAAACAAUAAUAGGGAUGAUUUGCAAGUCUCUCUAGCAUUUGAUCAAUGAAUGGCAAUGGAAAAUGAUCCUUUCUAGAUGCUGAGUUAAGUUUUCUAUAAUCUAUGCACAUCCUAUGUCCCGUUAUUGUUCUUGUUGGAAUUAGUUCAUUCUUAUCAUUUUUAACCACAGUUAUUCCACCCUUCUUUGGGACAACAUGCACGGGAGACACCCAUUUGCUAUCUGAAAUAAGAUAGAUUACACCUGCAUCUAGGAGUUUUAGAAUCUCUUUCUUAACAACAUCUUUCAAGUUGGGGUUCAACCUUCUUUGAUGUUCUAUAGAAGUCAUAGAUUCAUCCUCUAGAUGUAUCCUAUGCAUGCAUAAAGAAGGUGAUAUCCCUUUAAUAUCAUCUAGUGAGUAGCCUAUUGCCUUUCUAUACUUUUUAAGUUCAUUCAAAAGUUUAGACAAUUCGUUUUCAUUCAGUUCACUACUCACAAUGACAGGAUAUGUCUCAUUAGGUCCAAGAAAUGCAUACCUUACACCAAGGGGAAGAUGUUUAAGCUCCACUUUUGGUACUUUUAGUUCACUCCAAUCAUCUUCUUGGAGGUUCUCUUGUUGAUCAACUGAGGCAGCAUGAUUAAUUUCUUGUGGAAGCUCUAUGAAGUUGUCUUCUCAACUUUUUUCUUUGUGGCAGUCUAGCAUCCUCACAUACCUUGCACUCUCCUCAUCUUCAAUUAAUUGAGUCUCUCUAUCAACUGUUAGGGCAUGUUGAAGAGAGUCCUCAAUGGUUAAUUCCUCCAAAUACUCUUCAGCUAAAGCUUCCAUCUCCUCAAUGUAGAAUGAUUGGCUUUGGGUAGUGGGCUUCUUCAUCACCUCCUUGAUAUCAAAAUGCAGGAUGUUCUCUUUGCCUAGAUGAAGAUCAAUCUUCCCUUCCUUAACAUUCACAACAGCUCCUGCUGUAGCCAAGAAAGGUCUCUCCAAUAUCAAAGGAUCUGUUGGUUCUUCAUCCAUCUCCAACACCACAAAAUCUGUAGGAAUCUCACAAUUUCCAACCAUAACAGAGAGAUCUUCUAGGAUACCAAUGGGAAUCUUCACUGAGCGAUCAGCUAGCACAAGAGAGAGUCUACACUUCUUGUAUUGUGUAAACCCAGGCCUUUUAGCAAUGGAGAGAGGCAUAAGGCUCACACUUGCUCCCAAAUCACAUAUACACUUCUCAAAAGCCAAUUGCCCAAUGGCGCAAGGUAGAGUGAAGCUUCCUGGAUCUUCAAGCUUCUUGGGGAUGGUUAACCGCUGUAUAAUGGCACUGCAUUCAUGGGUGAGAACUACCAUCUCUUCCAUCUCUUUCUUCUUCUUGGUUACAUCACCUUUUAGGAACUUGCUGUAUUGAUGCACUAGCAUGAAGGCAUCAAUAAUGGGCAUGGUGAUCUGAACCUCACUCAUUUGCUUCUCAAACAAGGCUUUGUAUUGCUCCAAAAGCUGUCUCUUGAAUCUACCAGGGAAGGGAAGUUUUGCUUCAUAUGGAGGAGGAAUGAAUGGAGCUCCUUUUGAUGAAGUAGCAGCUUCAUUUUUGUUCACAACCUUCUUCUCUUCUCCAAACUUUCUUUUCCUUUUAGCUUCAACUAUCUUCUCCAAGAUCUCUUCAUUGGUUUUCUCAUCCACAAUAACCACAUCAUCAUCCACAUUGAUGACCACCUCCCAAUCUUGCUUCUCAUUAUCCCUAAUGAGAGUUUUAGGUGGCAAUUGUUUACCACUCCUUAGGGUGAUGGAUUUCAUUGUCUCCUUGGGGUUUUUCUCAGAAGUUCCGGGAAGUGAUCCCAUAGGACGUUUGGAGUUACUACUCAUUGAAGCAAACUGGUUCUCCAAAGCUUUGAAGUUGGAAGCAAGGUUUGAGAACUUGUUGUUGAGAUCAUUGUAGCUUCCAUCAACUUUGGUGUGAAGGUUCUUCAGCUCAUAUCCAAUGUGCUUCUCACUUCUAGUUUGAGACUCCAAGAUUUGUUUCAGCAUUGUAUCAGUGCUACUCUCUUGUGAAGUAGAGGUAGAAGAUCCGGCUUGGCCUUGUGUAGACUGAUUUCCUUUGGAGGGGAAGCCUUGAGAGUAGUUUUGUCUAGCUUGAUAACUACUUUGUUGGUUGUUGUUGUAGAAGGGCUUUUGUUGGUAGUUGUUGUACUGAAAGUUAGGUUACUUCUUGUACCAUGUUCGAUUAGUAUUCAUAAAGCACAACUCUUCUUGACCUUCUAGACCAUCAACUUCAUUUAACACAGCAACCCCUUCUUGUUUCUGCUCACCAACAAAGUUCACCUUCUCUUGUUUAGCUCUAUCUAAGAGAAGCAUAUCCAUCUUGUCUUGUAAAGCCUUUAACUUUCUCUUGGUGUUUGUAUCAUCACCUCCACUGUCUCUGUUGCUUCUAUCGUGCUCAUCACUGUAAACAGAAUCACUCUUAGCCAUAUUCUCUACAAGCUCCAAAGCAUCUGCUUCACUUCUCCCCAAGAAGAAACCAUUGCUAGCAGUGUCAAGAUGGCUUCUAAACUUGGGAAAAGCACCUCUGUAGAAAGUACUAAGCAAACUCUCCAUAUUGAAACCAUGAUGAGGACAUUGAGAGAUGUAGCUGUUGAACCUUUCUCAUGCUUCUCCAAAGCCUUCAAGAUUCCUUUGAUGAAAUCCAUAGAUUUCAUUCCUUAGCUUAGCAGUUCUUGAAGUAGAGAAGAACUUGGUGAGGAAGGCUUUCUUGCACUCAUCCCAUGUGGUGAUUGGAUCUCUUGAAAGGCUCUUCUCCCAUGUGUGAGCUUUGUCUCCCAAAGAGAAUGGAAACAACCUUAGCUUGAAUGCAUCUUCAGAGACACCAUUGAUUUUUGUAGUUCCACACAGCUUAUCAAAGUUAUCCAAGUGGUCUAGUGGAUCCUCCAAGGCAAGACCAUGAUACUUGUUGCUCUGGAUCAUGUUUAUCAAGUUUGACUUGAUCUCAAAGUUGUUGUUUUCCACAGCUGGUGCUCUGAUGCCAGCUCUAUGCCCAUGGAUAUUGGGCUCAUCAUGUGUGCCAAUAGCUCUUGCUUGGCGCUGUGGGUGUUGUGGCCUAAGGUUGCCAGCUCCUUGGCCAAUGCCCUCUCCAUCUUGAGGCUGAUUCUGAUGUUGAUCCAUCAUAAACCCCAAUCUGUCUAGGUGAGCCUGUUGCUCUUCUUCUCUUCUCCUCCUUGCAAUCUCCCUUUCAAGUGCUCUAAUGUCUUCAACUCUGGGAACUAGGUCUGUUGGACCUCUGCUCCGCAAGUUCAUGCACCUGAGAUACAAAAGGCUAGGAAAGAAAAUCAGUAACUAGAUAUAAGAAAAUAAGAUUUAGUCUCAAGCAAGAACCAAAUCUCAAUGUCAAAAUCAACAUAGAAUUGGCAACGGCGCCAAAUUUGAAAUGAACUUUUCAAAGGUCCAAUAAUCAAAUCAUUAUAGUAAUUGAGAUGUCAAUCCAUUUCUAAGAAUUUUGAAUCAAAGAGAAUUCAGGUUUUCAAUUAAGCUAAAUGCAAUCAAUAAGAUGAUGUGAUUCAAUCAAACUAACAAGUUUCAAGAACAACUAACAAGCAACUUUCAAUCAAAUAGAUAAAUGAGGAAUCAUGGGCAUAGGAUUUUGAUUUCAGAUGACUAAGAUUUAAUUUAAAAUAGCAAGGUUUCAAUCAACACAUUCCCAUAACUCUAGAUAUUAAUUCUAAGCAAGUUUUCUUCCAAGAUAAAAGCUCAUUUACUCUCAUGAUCAAACAUCAAAUUCCUUUGGUUUGUGUCAAUCAAGCAAUCAUUAAGAAUGGAUCAUUCAACUUUCCUAACUCCCCUAACAUCAAAUCCCUUUGGUAGGGUAAGCUAAGAGCAUGUUGAGUUGGCUCAGACAUUUCAUCGAAUACCUUCCGGGCAAUGAAAUGUCUAGAGUUCUAAACCAGAAUGGCCAACUCUAGCUUAGCAUUAAGAUCACUCAAUCAAGCAAGGAAAGAUAUUAAUCUACUCUAAACAUUCUAGAUCAUCACUUAAUCAUCCUAAUCAUCCUAACCCAUGAAUCCAAAGAUGACUACUCACUCAUUAUCAUGAUAAACACUAGAUCAUUGGUUGAUCUAAGUCUAAACAUGAUUAAUGAUCAAAGUAAUCAAGUAAACACAAGAGAAAUUGAUCAAGAUUAAAUCUUUCACCUAAAGUUGGUUUUUGAUUAGAUAGAAAACAAGAUAAAAUCUAAGAUUAGGUUUACAAUGUAUUUAUAGUAGCUUAAUGACAUAGGAGUAAAUUAGUAAAAUGCUAAAUUUCGAACACAUGCCUCGACCAGCUAUGGCUUGCGAUCACAGCCCGCGAAACGCGAUCAUCGGCCGCGACCGGCACAUCCUGCGAUCACAGCCCGUGAAAUGCCCUGGUUGAUUUGACGACACAUGGUCGCGACCUGUAUCCUCCCGUGACGUAGGCCUGCGAAACGUCCUGGUUGUUUCGUCGACAUCACGCCGCGCCCAGUCUCUUCCCGCGGCGAGGGCCUGCGAAAUGCCUGUCUGAUUCGUCGACACACGGCCGCGGUUAGCCUCUCCCCGCGAAGGUCGCCUGCGGUGACACCUUCUCUUGGCAGCCUGCAUCUGGUCGCGACUCCUGCCUGCUACCACGCCAUUCUUCAACAUCCUGAACGUUUUUGACCUUUUAAGCUCCAAAACCUGACCAGCACUUCUCCAAACCUGCAAAACAUACAAAUGCAAUGCAAUGCAUCCUAAACAAACUCUAAAUGUGUCUAAAUGAUCAAUUUAAAAGCUGGAAUGAUGUCUAAAAUCAUGUAAAUGCACAAGAUAUCAAGUGUUAAUAGCAUAAUAGUAAAAUGAAAUAUUCCACAUGGUAUAAAAACAAAAAUAUAGUUUUACUACACCUAAUUGACGUUUUAAUAGUUUUACUUUGUUUUAUAAAAAUAGAAAUGCUCGAUCUUUUCAUAGAUCUCUUUGUUUUAUUGGUUGUUCUAUUCCGGUCUGGUUACCUAGACCACCUCAUGUUUGAGUAAUAGAAUAGCCGUUUGUUGACAGCAAAAAAAAAAUAGUUUUACUUUGUAAAUGACGUCAAAACUGAAGACAAGGGAGCCGAUAAAUCAUUACAAACUUGUAUAAAUCUUCUAUACAAUUCACGAAUACUUUACUUCUUAGUUCUUUAAAGAUUGGUAAUUUUUUUUCUUAACGUGAACAAAGUGAAACUAUUUUUAGUGACAAACUCUUUAUAAACACAAUACACAUGUAUGUAAAAGAAACUUAUGUAAGUACGGUUCGAUCGAUCACUCGUCAAUUCGUCAUCCAAAUUUUUAUGACAUAAGAGACUUUGAGUAGAUGCUCUAUCAUAUCACAUGAUAUACUCAAAUUUUUAAGUUUUAAUUACUCCCUUGAAUUUAGUAUAAAAGUCCGUCAGAUCUAUUUACAACCUGCUAUUCACUUGAGAUGAGUGGAUAAAGAAUGCAUUUGCUUUCAACAAAAUAUAAUCGACGUCCGAAGCUAAGGACAAGAGUGUAGACAUCAGUAGAAACUUGUUGGGAAAAUUACCCAAUAUCGAUGAGAUGAAGAUGGGAUUAGACAACUAAAAGAUUUAAGAAGAAGACUCUUUAUAAUUUUGGAAAGGGUUUACAAAGAUUUUGUUUUGAGAACUCUCUCUUACAAAUGUUUUCUCUCUUUGUUUUCUUGAUUCUUGGAUGAUGUUACAAAUGGACUCUACACUCUUAUUUAUACUAGUGGAGGGUAACUACAAGCUAAUUCUAGAGACUUCUCCAUCUUCUUUUCGUAUAAACACUUCAACACACUUCUACACACUUCUCAAUCCACACUCUUCUUCUCCUUCUAGAUAUUUCUUCUUCUUGGACUAAUGCUUGAUUUGUUUUGGGCUUAAGGAGGGAACUCCAACAAAUCUCCCCUUCCCGAUUUAGCCCGAAACAAUUGCCAUACCCGUGCCUUUGCAGCAAUCUUCAAACUUCUUGAUCGGUAAUACCUUGGUCAUAAAGUCUGACCAGUUUUCAUCGGUGUGUACCUUGUUGAGAUGUAGAAGCUUCUCUUCAAGAACUUCUCGAAUCCAAUGAUGCCGAAUGUCGAUAUGCUUCGAGCGAGAGUGAAAGCUUGGAUUCUUUGCUAGGUGAAUGGUGCUUUGAUUGUCACAUAGCACAACAUACUUAUCUUGAUUUACUCCCAACUCAAGUAAGAAGUUCUUCAUCCAUAACAUCUCCUUGCACGCUUCCGUUGCUGCGAUAUACUCUGCUUCUGUGGUGGAUAAGGCAACACACUUUUGUAGCUUCGAUUGCCAGGAAACAGCUCCCCCUGCAAAGGUAGUCACAUAUCCCGAUAUUGACUUUCUUGAGUCUUUAUCACCAGCCCAAUCUGCAUCAGUAUAACCGCUUAACUCUAAUUUUCCAUUGCCAAAACAUAGACACUUUUUCGUUGUGCCUCUUAGAUAGCGUAGAAUCCACUUAACUGCUUUCCAAUGCUCCUUUCCUGGGUUUGCUAGAAAGCGACUCACAACUCCUACUGCAUAGGCAAUGUCCGGUCUGGUGCACACCAUAGCAUACAUGAGACUGCCCACUGCUGAUGCAUAUGGGGUAGUCUUCAUUUCCUCUUUCUCCUUCUCACUUGUUGGACUUUGCUUCGAACUUAGCUUGAAAUGUCCACCAAGUGGAGUGCUCACCGGCUUUGCUUUGUGCAUGUUGAAUCUCUCCAACACCCUUUCAACAUAUCGUUCUUGGGACAACCAUAAAAGCUUCUUUGGCCUAUCCCGAGUGAUCUUCAUUCCAAGAAUCUGUCUCGCUUGCCCCAGAUCUUUCAUCGCAAAACACCUUCCCAAAUCUUUCUUUAAUGCGGCUAUCUUGUUGCGAUCUUGACCCACAAUUAACAUAUCAUCAACAUAGAGCAAUAAUAUGAGAAAGUCGCCGCUUUCGUACCUCUUUAUGAAAACGCAAUGAUCAUUCUUGGUUUUCUUGAAGUUAUGAUCCACCAUGAAGGAGUCAAACUUCUUGUACCAUUGUCUUGGAGCUUGCUUGAGACCGUAAAGACUCUUCUUUAAUCGGCACACCAAGUCUUCUUUUCCUGGAACCUUGAAUCCUUCAGGUUGCUCCAUAUAGAUCUCCUCCUCGAGUUCACCAUGUAGAAAGGCCGUCUUGACAUCGAGUUGUUCAAUCUCCAAGUCUAGAACUGCUGCUAGACCAAGAACCACUCGGAUAGAGGACAUCUUCACCACUGGAGAGAAUAUUUCUUCAAAAUCUAUGCCUUUCUUUUGGUUGAAUCCUUUCACAACCAAUCGAGCUUUGUAUCUUGGAUUUGAGCUUCUCUCUUCAUACUUCAACCUGUACACCCAUUUGUUCUUCAAGGCUCUCUUUCCUUUUGGUAGCUUCAUCAGCUCAUAAGUGUGAUUAUCAUGCAAGGAUUGCAUUUCAUCUUGCAUAGCUUCAACCCACUCAUCUCUAUGAGUGUCUCCUAUGGCCUCCUCAUAGCUUUGAGGCUCCCCCUCAUCUGUAAGAUUAACGUACUCAUCUCGAUAAUAUCUUACAGAUGGUCUUGUCUCUCUUCCAGACCUUCUUGGCUCAUGUUCUUCCUCUGGCUCCACUUGAACUUCUUCUUCACCUUCAUCACCAUUCGGAUCCAUGAUAGGAUCCCCUUCGCCCUCAUCUCCAAUCACUUGUUCAUGAUCUUGAGGCUUAUGAGAAUCUUCAUUCCUUACAACCCUUAGCUUUGGUUUCUUUGAUUUGUUGAUGUCUUCGAUUGUUUGAUCUUCGAAGAAAACAACAUCUCUGCUUCGGAUAAUUUUUCUGUUAACCGGAUCCCAAAGCCGAUAGCCGAAAUCAUCUCUUGGUGACCCAAGAUAGAUGCACUCUUUAGUCUUGGAGUCUAGCUUGGCUCGUUCAUCCUUAGGUAUAUGGACAAACGCUCUGCAACCGAACACCUUCAAAUGGUUGUAAGAGACCUUCUUACCCGACCAAACUUCCUCCGGGACAUCGCCUUCCAAAGGAACUGAUGGUGUAAGAUUUAUGACGUCCACUGCAGUCUUUAUGGCUUCUCCCCAAAAUGGCUUGGGUAGUUUAGCGUGAGAGAGCAUGCACCGAACUCUUUCUGUGAUCGUUCGAUUCAUUCUUUCAGCUAGCCCGUUCAGUUGUGGCGUCUUUGGUGGUGUCUUCUCCAUCCUGAUUCCAUGAGCUUUGCAAAACGCUUCAAAGGGACCUCGGUACUCUCCACCAUUGUCAGAUCGAACACACUUGAGUUUUUGACCCGUACUUCGCUCUGCUUGGGCUACAAACUCCUUGAAAGCAUCAAGAACUUGAUCUUUUGACUUCAAAAGGUAUACCCAUACCUUCCUUGAAUGGUCAUCAAUAAAGGUGACGAAAUAUGAUGCCCCUCCAUUGGAUUUCUCGGACAUGGAGCAUACGUCAGUAUGCACAAGAUCAAGAAUAUGCUUUCUUCUCAUAGGCGUAGAUGAUCUUCGGAAAGCGACCCUAUGUUGUUUUCCGGCUAAGCAAUCAUGACAUGGUGAGAGAGAAAUACCUUUCAUAUCAGGAAGAAGUUUCUUGCUAGAAAGUAUACUUAAACCUUUCUCACUCAUAUGCCCGAGUCUUCGGUGCCAUAUAUCGAUGUCAUCACUUGCGACAUUUACUUCUUCCUUGCAAAGCUUGGCUUGAGUCACGUAUAAUGAGCCUUCUUUUCUUCCUCGAGCCAUGAUCAAACUUCCUUUGGUUAACUUCCAUUUGCCACCACCAAAAUGACUGUCCAAGCCGACAUCAUCGAGCUUUCCGGUUGAUAUGAGAUUGAGUCGCAUGUCGGGAACAUGUCUCACAUCUUUGAGAACUAUCUUACAUCCGGUGUUUGAUGUAAGAAUAACAUCCGGUGUUUGAUGUAAGAAUAACAUCCCCCUUUCCAACGAUCUUGCUUCUUCCUUGAUUUCCCAUUUGAACAUUACCAAAGUCACCACUUUGAUAGGUUGUGAAGAAGCUUCCAUGAGGGGUGACGUGAAAAGAAGCACCAGAAUCAACGAUCCAUGAGCUAUCAUCAGAGCUAAGAUUACAUUCUCCAACGAGAUAUAAUUCUUCGCUCUGGUCUUCCACAAUGGUGGUAGUCUUGUCUUCAUGCUUCUUUGUAGGAUUGAACCGGUCUGGUUUGAUAUUACCGGAUUGUUUGUCUUUCUUGAAAAACCGACAUUCCGACUUCAUGUGACCCGGUUUGCCACAAUAAUAGCAAGUAACUCUCGGACGUGACUUAGAUCUUCCUCGAGAUUGGUCUCGUCCUCUGCUUCUGUUUUGACCACAAGUCUCUUCUCUACCUCGUCUAUCAACAAUGUUAGCUUCUGAAUAAGAGCUCGAACCUCGCUCCUUCCUGCGAACUUCUUCGUUUAGAAGUCUAUCAGUGACGGUGUCCAUGGUAAGCUUUCCCUCCGGUGCUGAAUUGCUUAGAGUGACAACUAGUGUGUCCCAACUCUCCGGUAGUGAACUAAGGAGUAAAAGGGCUUGCAUUUCGUCUUCAACCUUCAUAUCAACUUUGUUAAGCUGAUUUACGAUCCCCUUGAAAUUGUUCAAGUGCUCCAUCAUGCUCUGGCCAUCCUUGUACUCCAACUUUACCAACCGUCGAACAAGAAGAGCUUUGUUUCGAGGUGUUUUCUUUUGAAUCAUGGAUUCAAGUUUUGUCCAUAAUUCAAAAGCAUUUGUGUAGGUAGAAACAUGUUCAAAGAGAGAUCGGUCAAUGUACUUACGGAUUACAGCAACCGCCUUUCGGUUUAGUAUUUCCCAUGUUUUGUCAUCCUUUCCUUCCGGCUUCUCCUUCAUGAUGAUGGGUUCAUGCAAAUCCUUACAAUAAAGGUGAUCUUCCAUCAUCGGUUUCCAAUAAGAGUAGUUGUCUGUCGUGAGUUUGAACAUGUCACCUUCAACGGUAACGGUAGCCUCCAUCUUGAAUCUCACGGGUCUUGAUGUUAUGUUUGAACCUAGCUCUGAUACCACUUGUUGGGAAAAUUACCCAAUAUCGAUGAGAUGAAGAUGGGAUUAGACAACUAAAAGAUUUAAGAAGAAGACUCUUUAUAAUUUUGGAAAGGGUUUACAAAGAUUUUGUUUUGAGAACUCUCUCUUACAAAUGUUUUCUCUCUUUGUUUUCUUGAUUCUUGGAUGAUGUUACAAAGGGACUCUACACUCUUAUUUAUACUAGUGGAGGGUAACUACAAGCUAAUUCUAGAGACUUCUCCAUCUUCUUUUCUUAAACACUUCAACAUACUUCUACACACUUCUCAAUCCACACUCUUCUUCUCCUUCUAGAUAUUUCUUCUUCUUGGACUAAGGAGGGCUUGAUUUGUUUUGGGCUUAAGGAGGGAACUCCAACAAAACUUUAUGAAUUUAAUGCAUGUUUUGGACAUACAUCAAAGAAUUUUCAAAACUCAGCUACGUCUUCCUUCUUCCUUCUUCCUUCUUCCAAACCCAAAAGCCAAAUAGUGAUCGUAUUCGGUCAUGCUUACGGUAUACAUUUUUUUUUUGCAACUGCUUACGGUAUACAUAAUUAUCAAAGAAACCACGUAAAGUUAAACAAGAGGCCGAUGGCUAGAAUACAAGGUUUGCUCUUUUUGCGCUUUUAAUGCUCUUUCAUUUUAUGAAUCUUAUCUUGUGAGCAAGGGACCCUCCAAAUAUAGGGAAGAAAAAGAACUUUGGGGUUUUCUGCAAAAUCUUUAUGUCGAUUGCGGCAAAAAUUGAUGGCAAAAAGCUUUUAAACUGUAUGUUUUCGUUUGCGUGUGGACUCUGCCGUGUCUCUGACGGCAAAUGUGAGAAUGGUCCGUCUAUAACAUUGACGGCUUGGGGCAUUCUCUUCGGUAUUGAGAUAAGGUCACAAAUACGUGUAUAUGUACAUAUAUACUGAUAAAGAUAAAAUUUUGUAAACCAAAAUAAAACUAAGCUCAAGCAUAUACAGCUACGAUAGUGGUCCUUAACUCCACGCUAACAUCCUUUAUAUAUUAAUUGAGAAACAUUACAACAUUGUGUGUAGCCACGUAUCACCAUGAGAAUAAAAUUCAGAAUUUUUAGAAAAUAGGUUGGUUCAUCUUAAAUUAUAUUAUACUUUUUAUUAAACUAACUAUUAAAUUGAUAAAUAGUGUACAAACGAAUAUUCUCGCUUUCCUUAAAUAAAAUCUAUGGAAUUGCCUAAUAUGAUUAACGUAUAUAUGACAAUCAAUGAUUAUGAAUAAUAAAUAUUUGAUAAUGAUUUUUGUAUCUUAGCACUUUUUGUUCAUUUUAUAUUAUUAAAAGAUAUUAAACAACCUCAUUAAUCAUAUAAUAAUAAAUUUUUUUUUUUUAUAUGUUAUAUUUUGAAUUUUUAAAAUGACUAUAAAUUACUAAAAAUAUUAAAUGUCUCACACUAAAAUUUUGUGAUCAAUAGUUUAACUUUUUUUGGUAAUAACAAGAUACAAAUGAUCAUAUAUCGUAUAAAUAUGAAGUCUCAUUUACUAGACAUUCAUAUUAUAUAUUAAUAUAGUUUAAAAUUAAACUAUAUAACAUAGAAAAAUACUUAAAUAUGAUAAUUUCUAAAUAUGUAUUAAAAAGUAUUAAAUAAUUUUGAAAUUUGCAUUCAAAAAAUCGCACAUUAGAAAUUUUGUAUUUAUCAUAUGAGUAUGAAUUCUCAAUAAUAAAUAUUUAUAUUAAAAUAUACUAUAUAUCUAUGUCCAUGUCAUUGAAAUUUAGUUAUAUACAAUAUAAAAUAAAUAAAAUAAGUUUGUGAUUUAUUUACCAAAAAAAUAUCGUAAAUAAAAAAGAUGUAUUGUUUUGAUUUAUGUCUUUACUCUAAUUUAAUUAUAUACCUAAUACGUAAAUGAAUACAAAUAAAUAAUAAUAGAUAAAAUUAUUUUUAUAUAUACAUUCAUCCCGCGCAAUUGCGCGGGUCUUAAGCUAGUUUUAUUAGUAUUGUGAAGUAUUAUAACUAAUAUUGUUCCAAUCCAUUUCUAUUUUUUAUCCUUAUACUUUUUCCUAAAAUAAAGAAAAUAUAUUAUAAAAGAUACUCCAAUGUAUAUCUUUAUAAUAGAGUUCUUCUAAUUUUAGGAGAAAAAUAGAGUUCUUCUAAUAAUAGAUAAAUGUUAUUUUUAUCCUUAAAUAUAAAGACAAAAGUACUUUUGUUUUCUUCCAAAAUAGAUGAACUCUACUAUAUAGCUAGUUGCAUGGAAGCUUCAUCGGACGUCCGCUUUCCGCUUCAGAAUCAGAAUCGGAACCUUGUGGAAGCUUGCGGAAUCUUGCUUCCAAAACGCUUCUAAAAUAUUUUAUUUAAAAAUACGUUGGAAGCUUACGAUUCCGUUUUUGGAAUCACGCUUCCGUUUUAAAAAAUGCAAUGUAUAUCAAUAAAAUAUAAAGAGUAUUUGCACUCUAUACACUAACAUUAGUUUUUUAAUAGUAAUGAAUAUAGAGUUAGAAAUAUACAAAUAUUAUAAAUUAUCUUUAUGCAUUGAGAUUUUUUAUUAAAGAUAUAGAACAAAUUGAAAUAUAUUGUGUCAAUUAUUUAUGAACUAUUAAAAAUAGUUAAUAUAUAAUUUUUUUUGUAAACUUAAUUUAUGUGUAUUUUUACAGUUUUAAUAUAAAAUCAUUUCAAAAUUAUUAUAAAUGAAUAAAUGAUUUAUUUCAAAUUUAAAUCAUAUAAUUUUUAGUCCUAAUUUUUUUUUUAAAUCUUAUAUAGAUAUAUUUAUAUAUGGAAAUACGCUUCCAACAUAUGCCCGCUUCCUAAUAUUUUAAAACAUCUCGCUUCUGCGUUUCCUUACACUUCUGCUUCCACGUACCCGCUUUCGUUUCCAAAACGUACCCGCUUCCUAAUAUUUUAAAAUAUCUAAAGACUCUACACUGAAAAUAAAUUAAGAUAAAUUAUAUUUAUCAUGUAUAAAUAUUUUCCUCGAGAAAGCAUGCUAAUUUGCAGGGAUAUAUAUACUUCAUCUUCACUAGUAGUUCGGAAAAAUAUUGAAAAACCUUUGUCAUCGAACUUAGUCAUACAAAUCAUGGUUAAGAUUAGUGAUUCGAGCUCUGAGUGUAUAGUAAAGAGCAUCCUCCUUUACAUGUUCCAUCAGAAUUUUUUGCUUUGAGUGUCUAUACCGUUAAAUUCAAUGUUAUACUUUUUAACUCUAUGUCUAACUAAUAAUAAAAAGAUAAAUAUCAUUGGAGUGUCGUACUAUAUAUAUCUUUUGUUAAUAGCCUGUUCAGGUUUUCAUCAGAGAUGUGUACAUUAGUACAUAUAUACAUACCAAAAAUAAGGUACUCAGUAUAGAAAGAAAAGUGCUGCAAUUCAUUGUUAUGUUCGUCAUGCUUACGGCUUAAUUAUGAAGAAACCACGUGAAACUGAACAAGAGGCUGAUUGACAAGAGGCUGAUUGCUAGAUUACAAGGUUUGCUCUUUUUACGCUUUUAAUGCUGUUUCAUUUUCGGAUUUAUACUUUGUGGUCAAGGGACCCUCCAAAUUUAGAAAAUAAAAAGUAGUUUGGUGGUUUCUGCAACAUCUUUGUCUCUUAGGGAAAAAAAUGAUGGCAAAAAGCUUUAAAACUCUCUCUUUUCUUUUGGCGGUGGAUUGUGCCGUAUCUCUGAAGGCAAACAUGAGAGAGGUGCGUCAAUCACAAUGACGGUUCUUGGCCUUCAUUGCCGUAUAGAGACAAGGCCUCAAAGUACGUAUAUUAUUAGGCUGAAACAUUGAAAGCCAAAAUAAAAUUAAGCUCAAGUAUAUAUCAGAUAGAUAUGACGUGGUCCUCCGAUCUUCAGGGUGUUGCAUGUGAUAUAUAAAUGAUCCACCAUAUCUUAUUACAUUUCCCUAUAGUCUACAGAAUACAUCUCCAAGAUUUAAUUUGAUUUUGUACUCGAAGCAUAUGGAUCCGUAUAUUUAUAUAUGAGCUUUUGUAUGGAUAAAUAUGCUAAUAAUGUGCAUAACAAGUUUGACGUAGUUACAACUUUCCUUAUGGGGUAAGGUGGUCCUAAGUAUAUACGAAAAUAAAAAUAAUGAUAAUGAAGUUUGUCAAGACAGUGAAAUUCCAAAUCUGGCCACCAAAUUGGUUUGACUUCACGCACUAUGACUCUUGAAUGUCCCGCUCUAGAUUCUCACCGUAUCAGGAUUUAACAAAGUUUUCAAAAAUGUUGGGUUAUACAUUCUCACUGUAUCAGAAUAUUUAUUUUCUGCCAAUUUCUAUAUUGCCAGUACGUCGAAAUGAGUAGCCGAAAAGAAAAAUAUGUCAUCGGAUCGCUCUUUGAAAUUUUUUUGGUGCUUGUGAAACCCGGACUGGCAAAUCUCUGAGCAUACGUAUCUAAGAUUGAUUAACCAAAAAUAGCAAUUGAAAGAUAACUGAUCGCGAGUCUCGUGUGGACAAGAACAGAGAACGCAUGUGACUGAUAUACUGAAUCCCAAGUAGCCACUUUAAAUACAAAUGAGGGUUGAGGGCUUUCAUCGUCAACCAAAGUUAAUCAGAACAAUUUGGAUGAGCACACUUGAACCAACAGCGAAUAUUUUGUAAUUUACAAACUCUUCUAAAAUACUUUUAAGAAAAAAUCAAUUUUAAAAUAUUUAGUACAUAUCUAAAUAAAUUAAAGUAUCUGAUCACUUAACGUUAUUUUCAGGCUUAUCAGCUGCAGUAAAUCUGUUUGAAAUUCCGAACUUAACAGUGGCAACUAUACACGAGGGAUCUAAUAAGAUCCAAAUAUCCAAUAUCGCACCUCCCCCAAAUGUCUAGUUAUUUGGAAAAUCUUUUAAAACGUAGUUGGCGAAUAAUGUUUGUUUUUCUACGUACUUGUGGAAACGGCUAACACGAGUUAUUCAUUUCUAUAUGCAUUUAAAAAUGUGCAGCCAUUAAUAAUAGUAGCUUACUUGCUCUAACUAGUUCAUUCUAGAAAAAAUAGCGACGAAUUUUCUUAUCACCAUGACGUUUUACUCUAAAACAAAGUCAUCAGUUCAUAACCUGUAAUCGAGAAGCACGUAUACUUCUUUAUAUUAUAUGCUCCUUAAUACGUGUAUUGAGGAAAGUUUAUUCUUGUAACAACUCAAAAACAAUUAGGAAAAGAAAAUAUAAAACUAUCUAGUCUUUUUCAUUUUUGACAUCAAUAUAAAGUUAUCUAGUCUCCGGCGAAUAUCCACCAUAGGAAAUAAUUGUUUAAAAAAAUUCACUAAAAACAAUUUUAUCUUACAAAGUCAAUAAACACAAAGCGAGACAUUGGUCCUUGUACUAUAAAACCCCCUCUCUAACUCGGUCCAUCUAUUCACUCAUCACAUAUCUCUUCCAUUUUCCAAAUCACUAAACUUUCUACAACCAUUAUGGCGACCUCACGACUAGCAAGAUUCAUAACGGAGGUUGCGCCACCGCAGUUUGUCACGGUGAUGCGGCGAAGAACGGCCAAAGUACUCGACACGAUCAAGGAGGAAGAGAGAGAAGUUGGGACCGAUCAUUCCAUAUUUUCUUCUUCUUUGACUUCCAAAAUCUCACCGUUCACUUCUCCUAAUCCUUCUUCCUCCUCCUCCUCUGGUUUGGCUUCUGCUUCAUUAUGUGCGGGUCCGACCAGUUUUCCGGUGACGGAGAAUCGGAGCUAUUUUCCGGUUUUCAAGAACUGAAUAAAGGUCAUCGUAUCAGGAGCUGCUUUUCAUAUGUUAUUAUGUAUAUCUGUGUGUAUGCUUCCGUUGUUGUCGGAUGAUCGGAGUUUUUUUCCCUUAACGGGUUGAUCAAACCCGGAUCAGCAUUGUGAAGCCCAGUCGGGUUGACCCGAUUCAUUAUAAUUGUAUAAUCAUCAUGUGGAAGGGACUUUGUUCAACGUCGUUGUCAUUGUAUUGUUAAUUUGAAAAAAUGAUCCCAAAUAAAUAAUUUAGUCACACUAUAUUGUCGUUGUUCAAAUAAAAAGUCACACUAUAUUGUCUUUUAGUUUGAAAAUUUCUGUAUAAAAAAAAUCAAGGUCUUUAUGGUGUUUAUUCAAGAGCCUGAUCAGCAAAUGAUUUGUUCAUAGACAAAACCUUUAACGAUCUAUACAUUUUCCUUGUAAGGAACAUAAGUUAGAGCAACCUUAUUGGUAGAACUCUUUUAAACUUCUCAAAAUUUUUAAAAUAAAUACUUUUAUUUGAUAAAAUCACUUUAAAAUCAAUCAACCAUUAAUAUGAUGACAUAUGGAAAAAUAGGUUCUUAAAAAUCAGAGAAAAUAUAUUUGAAUUAGUUCUUUCUCCUAUUUUAUUUGUACUUUUUACCUUUUUGAUCUUUAGAUACUCUAUUAGAAUUUAUCAAUAUGGAACUGCUCUAAGAUGGAGCUUGGUUUUUACGAGCGUAUCUCAAGCAUUGUCCAUGACUUGACGACACAUUUGAUCCACUUCAUUCCAAUUUUCGCUUGUCCUUCACGACUCCUAAUGUAUUUUUUUGCUAAAAAGUAGAUUGGGACUUUCACGACUCCGAAUGUUUAUUUUUCUUCUUACGAUCUAUGUUUUUUAUGGCAUACUCUGCGAGUUCUUUGAUGUCCAUUGUUUUUAGUUUAUUAAUUUUCUAUUUAAUCUAUUUAUAUUCGAAAAAUUGGUCUCUAUACCCCAAUUUGAUGUUAUAAUUGUUGGGAUUGUCAGGCCCGGUCUUGAGCAGAUACUCAAGAAACAUUGGUAUGGGGCCUAUAAUUUUAUACACUUGAAAGCUUACAAUUUAUACUGUUUUUUUGUAACAAAUGUAAGAAUGAAUCCUAAUCAAAUUGCAACAUAAUAAAACCUUGAAUAUUUUUUUCAUUAGUCUAUAAUAUAAAAAGAGUAAAUAGAUAAUUUCUAGGAUUGAUAAACUUUUUCAAUCUUGAAAAUAUUGUAAAUUUACUUUUAAUUUCGUAACUAAAAUUUUUAUUGUCAUUUUGGGCCCACAUUUUUGGUUUCGUAUUGGACCCGAAAUAUCUCAGGACCGGCACUGGGGAUUGUGAAAACUAUGUUCAACUUUCUAUUGUCCGAAUAGUAUGAUACUGUCCACUUUGGACAUAAGAAGCUGGUCCGCAUGGAUUUACUUUUGGAUUCUUUCCAAAAAGAUCUCAUAUUAAUUAGAAUUGGACAUCUCUUUAUAUAUUACACAAUUCUUGUCUAAAUUUACAAUGUGGGACUUUGUUUGAUACCUCACAUUCUUCCCCCUCAAACUAAAGACCACAUUCAUCUUGUGUCCCACAACUGAAUUUCUAGAAUCUUCUGACUUGAUCUCUGCCACAUACUUCCCGUUCAUAUCUCUAAGGGUACUAUUCAUAUUUUGAAGGGUACCAUUCAUAUCUCGAACGGUAUUUUGGACUUCUUGCAGAUUUCUCGUCAUUCCGCUCUGAUACCAAUUGUUGGGAUUGUGAAAGCUUAUGUCCAACUCUCUAUUGUUUGAUUAGUAAUAUAUUAUCCAAUUUGAGUCUAAGAAGCUGGUCCGCAUGAAUUUACUUUUGGAUUCUUUCCCAAAAGGUCUCGUACUAAUUAGAGUUGAACAUCUCUUUAUAUAUUGGACACUCCUAGUCUAAACUUCCAAUGUGUGAUUUUGUUUGAUAUCUCACAAUAAUUAGCUAAGUGCCAUUCCUUCUAAACUCAACAAAUCCUUUCUGAUUUUAACCCUCUAUCCAUGCAAGCCUCUCAUAGCUGUGUCGGUUUGUGUGUAAGCUUGUGUGUCAGUCUAUGUCAUAGUUUGUGGUCAUACUCAUGAACCUAUAUCUCCAAAUAAAAUAUCACUCGUUGAAGAAAAUAAAAAAAAUCAAAAGAGAAGAAAAAAUAAUAAACAAAGAUGUGCAAAAUCUAAAUAUGACGAAGAAGAAAACGAGAUUGAUUUUGCAUUUCUCUCAUAAAUUUAUUUUGACUCGGCGACGCUGACGUCCAAUUGAAAAGGUUGGUUGAGUUCAUCUUUAUCUUUGAUUCUUCUUCUUCUUAGAUAAAAAUGUUUACUUUGCAUUUCUCUCAUAAAUAUAUUAUUUUCUAUGUGUAAUAUUUUAUGUUAUAAGUUUUAUUUUAUUUCUCACUUUGGUUCUAAGAUUAUUAAUCUAAGAUUUGUUAUCUGGUACAUUUUUUUAUAAAUCAUUGUUAUCUGAUAGAUGAUUUGAUACAUAUUUUGUUAGCUGAUGCAAAAGACUUUGUUAUUAAUUGAUAUACGGUUUGUAUAGUUGAUAAAUGGUUUCACAGGUUGUACAUUGUUUGGUGGCUGACAAAUGGGUUGAUACAUGGUUUGUUAAUUAAUACGUUGUUUGAUAAAUGGUUUGUUAUCUGAUAAAUGAUUUGUUACGUGUUACAUGUAUUUGCUUUCUGAAACUUUAUUUGAUAAACGAUCUGUUAUCAGAUAAAUGAGUUGUUACCUUCUACCUAAUUUGGUUAGAUGAUACAUUGUUUGAUACCAAAUAAUUGAUAAAUGGUUGGAAUGAUGUUACAAACUUGUCGCUAAUUGAUAUAUGGUUUGUGUAGCCGAUAAAUUGUUUGAUAAAUAGGUUGUUAGUUUGUACAUGGUUUGAUACUUGGUUUGUUAGCUGACAAAUGAGUUGAUACAUGGUUUGUGAAUUGAUAUGGUGUUUGUUAAAUGGUUUGUUAUUUGAUACACAUGUUUUUAUCCGAUAUAUAUAUAUAUUGUCAGAUGACACAUAGUUUCAUAGCAAAAAAUGAGUAAAAGAAAAUAUUCAAAAUCUGAGAAAUGAUGACCAUAACAAAGUAAAGAUGAGAAGGAGAUCAACAUAGAUUUGGGGUAAAACUGAGUCGGUGGCGUUUAAAAAUUUAAAAUAAAGAUUGAUGAUUGCAAAAGAAAUAAAAACAAUGAGUUUUUAAAGAGGAUUCAAUAAUGUAGAGGAAAAAGAGUGUGGAAGGAAAGUGAAGGAGGUAAACGGAAAGAGAGUGUAAGAGGAGAAAAUAAAGUGUAAGAAGAAUGUAAGAGGAAAGAUCAAUGAAUGGGAAAUAGUAAUUUUGGAAACUUAAGGCUAAAAUGUUAUAUCAAUUUACACAUACAUCAAAUCAUAUGCAUUUUCUUAAUAUUGUUUCCAAUUAAGGGUAUUGAGAUAAUUGCCCCUUUAAAUUCUUUGUUUAGUUUUAUAAAACAACUAGUAGUGUGUCCGCGCUCGUGCGGGUAUUUGUAUUCGUUGUUUUGUGUAAUUUUGUUAUUUGAUGUUGUUUUGUUGUAGUAUCUUUUGUAAGUGGAUUUUAUUGGUCUUGUCAUUGUGCUAUUUAGUAUUAGGUGAAUUUCUUUUAUAUAUAUAUAUAUAUAUAUAUAUAUAUAUAUCAAUAAUGUAUAUUUUAGUAUUUGUAAUAAAAGUUUUAACUAUGAUUUUUAAACCUCUGCAUUAAUUUUGUUAGCAAUAUCUGAGUUGGAACUCAACCUGAGAAAACGGGGAAACCAAAAAAUGUCAGUGCUGAGUUCGCAUGAGAUACCAAAAUAGUAGUUCAAUGAAAAAUCUAACUGAAUACCAAAAUGCAUACCAGCCAAGAUAAUCCCUGCUAGGCUGGACAUCGGCAUCCAUAAACACUCGAGAUGAUGACAUCGAAGUGUGAGCAAGGGUUCAUGUUCACAACACAUUAAUUAAUUACUACCAUACAACACGUGAACAAUGCCACAAUAGGAUUCAAAUCGCGCACGAGUUAUACCACGGUCUCAAAUAACAGUAAAGAUGUCUCAAUAAAAUUCAGUUUGAAUUACCACACCUACGUUCUAUAUGAGUACACAAACAAUUACGACGAAUGAUGAGAGACAAUAUAGUUUUAGUGACUUAAUCCGGUAGUUUAGUGAAAUGCUUACCUCCAAGAUGUUUAGGGUUUACUGUUGUGACCAAAAGAACGCUUGGAGUGCCUCCAUACGACUUAAAUUUCUCGCAGAAGACAGAUGCGGCAUGGUCCCAUAGAUAGAGUUUCAUCACUUGCCCGCUGCACAAGGAUAAAUCAUGUGUUAGACAUAACACACAAAAACGCGUCUAAUAUUUGAACAAACUCACCCAUGUGUCUGAACAUGAACACAUAGAUGUCGCUUCUCUGCUAUGUCAACUUCGUCGAGGACCAUACAUUGAGUGAUGGCAUGCCCAUUCAUCAGCUUCAUGUGGCCAACAUAGUUUGAGAUAGAACAAUUCAAAGGAACAAUGUUAUUUGGGUGAAAAAACCCAAUGAUUUAAGUAUAAAGAUCAACAAUGCUUACCGUAAAGAUCAAUUUUGCGGUCACAGUUGGCCUGAAACUCCUCGUAACUGUAGAACCUGAACCUAUCUUCGUGAAAUGCAACCGGAGGGUUAUCAAUAACCGAUAACUUAGAAUUCCAAGCGAAUGUGAUGGUGGCGCUAUGAUCCGUAACCCGAUACUGAGCUUUGUUUCUGGAGCCGAAAAAAUUGCUUAGCUUAUAAACAGAACCAGAAGCCAGCUCAUAUGUCCCAACCCGACCCGCUGGUACAAAACCAUGAAUAACAGUCCCCUAUAGAUCAUUUGAGAUACUCGAUGAAUAGAAAUCUAACAAUAUUAGAGCAAAGGGGACCAGUAGUAAAUGAAUCGCAAACGAACCUCUUCAUCUAUGAGGAGCAUCUCCUGUCCAAUGAGCGUUUUCGAGUUUGGAUUUCGAGCCUCCCAGAAAUGAAUCAGUCGAAACCUCAAGUCGGCUUCGUGUGGGCCGAGUGAAACAUCUCUAAAGAGCAUCACUUGAUCGCCACACGCGGAGGAGGGAGCAGACGAAACAGGAGACUUCCCGUGAUCGCCACGCGCGGAGGAGAGAGCAGACGAAACAAGAGACUUCCCGUUAGGUUUCAUCACGAUGGCGGAGGAACCAGUAGACUUCCGGCUUGGCCUUGGAGUCGCGGAGGAGGCAACGGUCUUCUUGUUUGUCUUGAGAUCGCCGGAGAUUGAUGAGUUUCCUUUAGGCUCCAUCGGGACUUUUGUAUGAGAGAGGAAUAUCAAUUUUAAUCGAGGAAGACAAAUGGAGAGGAAGAUGAAAAGAAUCCAUUGAAUGAGAGCAAUCAAGGUGAAAGUAUGCGUUGAAACGGUUCCGGUGAGAAGAGAAAGGGAAGAUCUGGAAGACGAAAGGUGAGCGAAGAACGGCAUGUUCAUCGACGACAGAAGAGAGAAUUGUGUCGACAGAGAUAGGGGAAGAAGCCCUAAUCGGAAAAUAAAAGAAUGCAAAAUAAAAAACCCAAAACGAAAUGCAAAAUAAGAAAGACGAAGCCCAAAUCGUGUAAUGAACGGAUGACAUGUCUCAUUGCUUGAAUACUACUGGUCGAAUUUCCAAUCCUAUGUGGCAUACGUAAGAAGGCUCCAUAUUGUCCUUUUAAUAGAGUUAGAUUUCUUUUGCUCAUUUCUUCUUUGUGGCCUCUUUUAGGAGAAAAAAAAAAUUAUCAUAUGAAAUUUUUCUAUAAGUAUUCUCAUUGUUUACUUAAGCAUCACUGACCUUUAAUUCUUAUAUCGACUAAAAUAUUUGUUUUUAGCACCAUAAAAACAAAAACGAUAAAAGACUGUCUAUUUCACUUAAUAUGACCAGACCAUACAUAGCAUAUAUACAACUAUUUUUUUAAGUUAUUUUUCAUAUAAAAGUUUAUGAUUUUACCAAACUAAAUUUAUUUCACCAAUUUUAUAAAUAAUGUUCCUAAUUUUCUUAUUAUAUAAACGCAAGCAGAAUCAUAUAUAUAUAUAUAUGUCUGAAAUCAUUACAAAUUUAAGUCCAGUUAACUCAAUGGUUAAAAAAGAAGAGAUUAUUUGUGUGUAUAUCCACGCGUCCCGUAAUUAGGAGAAUGUCUUUAAUUUCUGUAACUAAUUUUCAUUCCGUGUUUGCUCCUACUCCUACACCCCCUGCAAGUGUAAAACUACAUGUCAGAACACGCGUCUUUAACCUCUGUCCGAUAAAAUUUUUAUUUUCAAUUAAUUAACAUAUAUUUUAUCAUUCUCUCCUAUCUUCUUCUAUUUCUCCUCUUUUCUCCAAUCUUUUUAUCUAUUCAUCUCCUCUCCUCUCGCCAUCUCUUUUUUUUCAGCUUAUGGAGAUGAUUGGUUGGGGCUGUAAAUACUCUGGACAGCUAAAAUUUAGUCUACAGCUAUAUAUGUCAACCAAUCGAGCUUUGCUUUCCUUAAAAAACUCACAGCAAAAAAAUCUCUGCAAAAUCAAAAUAUGGCUGUAGAGAACUUUAUUUCCAAAGCAAAAAAUUAGUGCUUUAGGGGGUGAUUGGUAGUUGCUGUAGGUGCUGUCCACAGCCCUAUUUAUUUCUACAGCACCAAAUUAAGAGAAAUCAAGCUUUAAUUUUUUUUUUGAAACCAAAUCUCUUCAAAUAACCUACAGCUGUAUAAGUGCUCUGCAGAGCCAAAUAUCCAAAGCAAUUUUUUAGUGCUUUCCAUAAAAUUCUACAGCAAUAAAAUUUAAAGCCACAGCAAAAAAUCUACAGAUUUUUUUCUACUGCAAAAUUUUUAAAGCUACAGCCAUUACCAAUCGGACCCUUAGAAAUCUACAGCAAGGAAAGGUACAACAAAUAAAUCUACAGAUUAAAUUCUACAGCAAAAAAUAUAAAGUUACAGCACUUACCAAUCAUCUCCUAUAUUCUUUUGUUUAUAAUUUAAUUGUCAAAUAUCAAACGAAAUGGGUGGAAACCCCAUCUCAGGUACGUUUGAAAUAUUUCUUGCACCAUUUUUGUUUUAUUAUAUUUUUGAUCUGAUUAUGUGAAAUACUUUUUAACAAAGAAUUCAAAAUAGGUUUUUUUGUGUCCUUUGAAUUUAUUUUUUGGGUUUAUUUUUUUUUCUUUAAAGAUUUGAUCUUUGAUGCUUCUUGAUUUUGGUCUUUUAGAUAGGUGUGUGCAAACCGGAGAGGAAAUGUGCUUUACGGUGGAGGUGAAAAUUGUAUUGGAUUUAAAGUUGGAGUAACCGAAGAAGGUCAUUUCCAAGUUUUGUAAGCUGCUAAAGAGUGAAGUUUUUUUUUUAAGUUGGGCCAUGAAGUGUUUUUGAAGCUAUUUUCUUAUGUGGAUAACUUGCACUUUAGUCGUCAUUAUAUCGAUUAUCUAAUAUUAUUUAGAUUUUAGAAAAUCUUUAGUUUUUUUAUUAUUGAAGAUACAUAUUUGUUAGAUGUUACAAACAGGUACCACAAAUUGUAACAAUUAAUAAGUUGUGAAAUAUUUAUAUACAUAAUUUGUUAGCUGAUACAUUGAUAGAGACAUGAUUUAUUAGUUGAUAUGCUUGUUAUUAUUUGAGAAAUAUUUUUAAGUUAAUAUACAACUUAGGACUAAAGAAUGAAUAUUUACUAGUAUGUAUGUUAUUGAUUCUUUUAACAUUACACAAAUAUUUAGAAUUUGUUAACAAAACAUGUAGAUGUUACAUAGUUUGUUAGAUGUUACAUGGUUUGGAUACAUGACUUGUUAGAUGAUAUAUUGUUUUGGAUAUAUGGUUUGUUAGUUGGUACUUUAGUUAUUACCGAAUGCAUGAUUUGUUAGCCAAUAUAUGGUUUUACACCAAAGAAUAAACAUUUAUUAUUAUGUAUGUUAUUUAUUCUUUUAACAUUCUACACAUACUUUAAUUAUUGGAUGAAAAUAUUAGGUUACCAUGUUAUGAAAUUAAUAAUUAUGAAUGUGUAUUUAAAUGCACUUAACUUCAUCUGUAGCUAUUAUUUUUGUUUACUAACAUAUUUUUCGUUAUAUAUUAUCCUUUUAUGAUUAUGUGUAUAUUUAACCUGAAUGAAUGUAUUGUUUUGGUAAAUAUUUUUGUAUCGUUAUUGAUUACAUACUCAGUUAACACAUUUCAUAAGUGCAGAACAAAUACGUUAACUAAUAACAAUUAAUUUUAGCAAUAAUAUUAAAAUUUAGAAUGAAUUGUUGAUUUUAGAGAUGUUGAGAUUUUGCAAUAGAUUGUAAUCUCUAUUGUCAAUUCUAUCAACUAAUAAAUUAUAUUAUUAUUUUAUGUAUUAAAAUAUUUUUAUAUUAUAUUUUCUUAAACAUUAUUAAUUGAUAAUAAAUAUAAUUAGCAUUUACAAAAUCGAGCAAACGAAUGGACCGGAAGUAAAGUAGGUGGAGGUCUAGAAGAGGGAACAUGAAUCUACACUAUAUGUCAGUAUAUCUUUAGGACUCUGACAUCUCAGGUACGAGUUGAACAUUGUGUCAGAUGGGAAAGGGUGUUUUCAUCCAAUGUUGAACACAAUUGUGUAUCUUGGGUAAGUCUCCAAUUUGAGUCUCAUAUGUGGGUAAUCUACUACAUCUCCCAAAAAUAAUUACUUUAAUUUGUCAAAUCAGAAUUGAACUCAAGCGUAUGCGGUUAGGUUAGAAUGAUGUAUUAUACGCUUUAUAAGAGUACUACGUUAAUUGUUAAUACAUAUUAGUACUGAUCCAAGACAGUACAUAUUCUUUUAACUUUUUAGUGAGAAUAAUUACCAUGGCCAAAGUUUUCGUUGGCUCCAGUAUACAUUCGGAGCAUAAUUGUUUUUUUGAACUUGUAAAAUUUUCGGUAACUUAUAAGUCUAUGAAUUACCAAUAUCCGUCAAAUAUACAUGUCCAUUAGUCUAGAUCACUAUUUCCAUAAGCCAUGCACCAGUUGGUACUAUAGUCUAUAGUUAACACAAUUAGAAAGAUCACCACAUUUUUAAGGAUAUUAAUUUGGUUUCAAGUAUGGUGUUAAGUUAGAAUGAUGUAUGAUCUGAUUGUAACGACCACAUUUGAGUUAAACCACAGUUUUGUAAGACCACAUAUUUGUAAGACCACAUUUUUAACUUUUGCCUACUAUAUGGAACACUACGAUUGUAACGACCCAAAAACUAAAGCCCACCAAGAUUCAUUUAAUUUAUAGGGAAUCUUAGGUAUUUUAUUUAAAUACUAGUCUAUAAUAGUUUUCUUUUUGAUCAAUUGGCAUGAAUAAUACAUAAUAAAUUGAAAAUUUUCAGAUAUGAAACAUUAGCAAAAACGUGGGAAAGGCCCAUCCUGUUUGGUGAUGAAAUGAUAUUGAUAAGAAAAAAUUACUAGGAUAGCACUAAAAAAGUUUUUGUCACAGAUAUAGCUUCUAAAAAUAAAAAUGAUCAAAAUAGCACUUAAUGUUUUAUCAAAAGAGAUAAAUAUACAUUUAUACUCCAAUGGUAAAUUAAUUUAGACAUUAGGGUUUAGAGUUAAAGGGGUGGUGUUUAGGAUUUAAGAUUUAGGGUUUCGGAUUUAGGGUUUAGGGUUUAGAGUUUAGGGUUUAGGGUUUAGAAUUUAGAGGUGGAGUUUAGGGUUUAGGGUUUAGAGUUAAGGGAUAAGGUUUAGGAUUUAGGGUUUAGGGUUUAGAGUUUAGGGUUUAGGGCUUAGUGUUUAGGUUUUAGGAUUUAGAGUUGGGGAGUGGGGUUUAUGGAUAAGAUUUCAAAUUUUAAAAA
rnacentral:lncRNA from 1 species